rnacentral:lncRNA from 1 species
UGAGUUCUUGGAAGCUUUCAUAGUUUCACCAGGUCCCGCUGUAAUUCGAAAAGGUUUCUGUUCCAUUCUGCUAUGUUUUUUCUGCCUCACCAUUAUACUAAUGCAUGAUUAGGUUUUAGGUGUGCAUUGAGGUGUAACGUUUCUGUAAUUUUACAUGAUAGAUAACAUGGAACAUGAUCACCAGAUUUUGAGUGUGAUUGCAGAUUGCCUUUCGAUUGCCAGGAGUAACCUGACUGAAAUAAAAUUCUCUUUACCCUUUUUAAAUAUUGUGUUUGAUGUCUUAUUUCAAUGCUUUCUUUUCUUGGAGAAAUUUACUUUUGAUUUCUAAUGGGAUUACGUGGAAACAGCCUCUAGUAGAAAUGUAAGGUAAGGCUACGUACAAUAGACCCUUGUGGUCCGGCUCUUUCCCAAACCCCCCGCAUAGCGGGAGCUUAGUGCAUCGGGUUGCCCUGCCCUUUUGAUGGGAUGAGUGCGUUAGUGUUAGACAUAAAUAUUGUGUUUACUUUGCAUACUAACUUCUUUUGAAAGUUUUCUUUUUCCUUCCACGUCUGGUUGUUUGUGGUGCUCUCGAGCUAUGUUUCACUCCAGGAAGUGAUGAGUCGAAAUCAAGAUGGCUAACGACGGUGUAAAUAAGGGCUCUUGGGAAUCAUCAAACUGUUAUUCCCAGCAUUCCGUUGAUAAGCGAGAACCUAUCCACAAAGGUUUGUUCUCUUUCUUCUUCUUGUCUUAGUGUUUCCUUCUCUGAAAAUAGGUCGCAUUAUUUAUUAUCUAAAUACUAGAAUUAAUUACUCUAAACGUGCUUAUAAUAUGACUCUACACAAAUAUAAUAAUUACCCCUGUAUUUCAAAGUCAAACAUUUAAAACAAGAAGUACAAAAUAAGUUUGGGUCGGCUAUAUGAAUCCUCACCAACCAUGUUCCUAUUUAAAUUCGUCUCAGGCGAACAUACGUCUAAGUUCUAACUGAAUAAACUUAAAAUAAUAUGAGGUGGAAAGAUAGAAAAGGUCAAAACUAAAAUUAAAAUGAGAAAUUCUUGUACUAUCCUUUUUAAAAAAAAUAAAAAUAACUUACAUGUUGAAAAUGCAACUAUUGCUUAUAAUUGAUUAUAUCUUAUAAGACAAGAGGGGCUUGGUCUGAUGGUAACCAACCCUCACUUACAACCGAGAGGUUGUGANNNNNNNNNNNNNNNNNNNNNNNNNNNNNNNNNNNNNNNNNNNNNNNNNNNNNNNNNNNNNNNNNNNNNNNNNNNNNNNNNNNNNNNNNNNNNNNNNNNNNNNNNNNNNNNNNNNNNNNNNNNNNNNNNNNNNNNNNNNNNNNNNNNNNNNNNNNNNNNNNNNNNNNNNNNNNNNNNNNNNNNNNNNNNNNNNNNNNNNNNNNNNNNNNNNNNNNNNNNNNNNNNNNNNAGCCUCUCUACCCAGGGUAGGGGUAAGGCUGCGUACACACUACCCUCCCCAGACACCACUGAGUGGUAUUGUACUGGGUCGUACUUUUUUUGAUUAUAUCUUAUAAAUAACUUAUACUCAUUACCAAAUGAAAUAUUUGAAAGAAACAUGUUUCAAGAAGUGUUUAUUCUCAUUUUAAAUAAAAUUUUAAGUUUUUAUUUUACACGUGGGACCCAAAAAUGUCUAUUCUCUUUCUUUAAAUUUUAUAAAUUAAUAUAUUGGAACUUUCUGUUUUGUAGCUUUGAUUUGUUUUUUGGUUAUUUCACUUUAAAUUAUUUUUGCUACACUUGCACCCCUGUUUUUAAAAUUAAAUACUUAAUAGCUUAGAUGAUGAAAACAACAACAACAACAGCAACAACUACCCAGUAUAGUCCCACAAAGUGGGGUCUGGGGAGGGUAAUANNNNNNNNNNNNNNNNNNNNNNNNNNNNNNNNNNNNNNNNNNNNNNNNNNNNNNNNNNNNNNNNNNNNNNNNNNNNNNNNNNNNNNNNNNNNNNNNNNNNNNNNNNNNNNNNNNNNNNNAGAAGGGCAGAGAGGUUGUUUCCAAUCGACCCUCGGCUCAGUGAAGGAAAGGAAAAAUAAAAACAAGAACAAAAGAGAAUUAGUAACUCCAGCAAAAAUAACGUAAAUAAUUAUCUAAACAUAAGAACGAUAAAUAAAAUAGCAUGCAAUAAUAUCAUACAGUAACUACCAUAAAUAACUACAGAAGAAGGGAGCAAAUGUUCAAGACGGUCAUAAUAAGGAGGCAAGUGCUUUAUAAGAGUACCAUGACAUAACAUUUUAUAAGACCUCAUGGGAGAGGCUUAGGUACCUGAAAAUAAUGAGAUCUCGAUAAGUUAUGUCUUUGUUGUGCGAUGAUGGACCCGAUGUAAAAUGAGAGACACAAUCCAAUAUACAAAUCAUCUUUGGAUAGCCCUGUCAAGCCUCACCCAACCCCGGGUGAGGAGUACGAAAAACUCCAGGAACCCCUAUCCUGCAACCCUGAUACUAGACCUCCAGACUUUCCUAUCAAGGGCCAUGUACUCGGAACCCGCAUUCUAGCCAUGUCAUGUCUAAUCACCUUUCCCCAAUACUUCUUAGGCCUCCCUCUGCCUCGCCGUACGGCGACCAUCGCCAGCCGCUCACAACUCCUCACUGGGGCAUUAGGACUUCCCCUCCGCACAUGCCCGAACCACCUCAGCCUCGCUUCUCGCAUCUUCUCAUCCACCGGGGCCACCCCCACCUUCUCUCGAAUAACUUCAUUCUUANNNNNNNNNNNNNNNNNNNNNNNNNNNNNNNNNNNNNNNNNNNNNNNNNNNNNNNNNNNNNNNNNNNNNNNNNNNNNNNNNNNNNNNNNNNNNNNNNNNNNNNNNNNNNNNNNNNNNNNNNNNNNNNNNNNNNNNNNNNNNNNNNNNNNNNNNNNNNNNNNNNNNNNNNNNNNNNNNNNNNNNNNNNNNNNNNNNNNNNNNNNNNNNNNNNNNNNNNNNNNNNNNNNNNNNNNNNNNNNNNNNNNNNNNNNNNNNNNNNNNNNNNNNNNNNNNNNNNNNNNNNNNNNNNNNNNNNNNNNNNNNNNNNNNNNNNNNNNNNNNNNNNNNNNNNNNNNNNNNNNNNNNNNNNNNNNNNNNNNNNNNNNNNNNNNNNNNNNNNNNNNNNNNNNNNNNNNNNNNNNNNNNNNNNNNNNNNNNNNNNNNNNNNNNNNNNNNNNNNNNNNNNNNNNNNNNNNNNNNNNNNNNNNNNNNNNNNNNNNNNNNNNNNNNNNNNNNNNNNNNNNNNNNNNNNNNNNNNNNNNNNNNNNNNNNNNNNNNNNNNNNNNNNNNNNNNNNNNNNNNNNNNNNNNNNNNNNNNNNNNNNNNNNNNNNNNNNNNNNNNNNNNNNNNNNNNNNNNNNNNNNNNNNNNNNNNNNNNNNNNNNNNNNNNNNNNNUCCAUCACCAAGGCAAACAAGAGAGGGCUAAGCGCCGAUCCUUGAUGGAGCCCCAUAACCACUGAAAAAUGGUCUGAGUCGCCACCCACCGUCCUAAUCGUAGUCUUAGCUCCAUCGUACAUGUCCUUGAUUACUCUGAUGUAGGCUUCUGGCACGCUCUUCGCCUCCAAGCUUAGAUGAUGAAAACAUUAAACAAAUUAUAUUUUGUAUAUUAUUUUAUGUAUAUUAUUUUGAAAUGCUUGGGUGUAUCUGCAAUUAAGUCAUAUUACAUAGGUGUUUAGUGUAAUUUAAACAUGAUGUUGUGGCUUUUCUAAUUUGCCUGAAACAUGUGCUCUAAUCUUCAUCUGCCUAUGGCAAUAUCAGUCAAUAUUUGUAACAAGUUACAAGAACAACAACAAAUAGCUGAAUCCCAUAAGUGGGGUAUGGAGAGGUUAGUGUAUAUGCAUACCUUACGCCUAUCUUGAAAAGAUAGAGAUGCUGUUUUUGGUAGACCUAGACUCAAAGAAAGAUGGAAAAAGAAGCAGUAGUAACAAGUUGUAACACCAGCUAGGAUCCACAUUUACAAAUUUCUAACCUUUUGUUAUAGCUAGGAUCCACACAAUUUCCUCGUGCUGAGUGUUGUUGACUGUAAGCCUGUCAAUGGCCGAUGCACAUGUGUUUGUACAAUCUUUUGUACUAAUUUUGCUGCUGCUAGUAUUAACUGAAAAGGUAAAACAGGUACCUCCUUACUCGUCUAAUAGAUUUUGACGGUCUUAGAUGAGUUGAUUUAGCGUAGCCUAUGAUAAUCUUUUGAAAUGAUAAAUAUCAUAGCGACCUAAAUGAUUUUGAGAUGGAUACAGAGGAACCAUUUAGUCGACCUCAAGUAGUUUGGCUUUGUGGUAUAGUUGACUCAUUUUAGAUGGCUGUUAAAAAAUUGAGCUUAGGUAAUGGGAGCUUUGGCGUAACUGGUAAAGUUGCUGCCAUGUGACAAGUAGGUCAAAGGUUCGAACCGUUAAAACAACCUCUUGCAUAAAUGUAGGGUAAGAUUGUGUACAAGACCUUUGCGAUCCGUCCCUUCCGCGGACCCCAUGCAUAGCGGGAGUUUAGUGCAUCGGGCUGCCAUGUUAAUAACCAUAGGAGCUAAGAUUUAGAGGUUGUUCCUCUGGUUUCAAUAUUUACAGUAUGCUCUUUCGACCAGUUACAGUAGUUUGAAACGCCUGAUGUUUGUAAAUUUUCCCUUCUUUUCUUGUUGCAGAUAAAUGGAAUUAAGCUGAGCAGUGAGGAAGCUUAGCAAAGGUUCUGUACAGUUUUAAAAGGUAAGAUGAUAAUACAUAGAAUUCAAGUAUAAGUUAUGCUAAUAUUAGUAACAUAAUGUUUGGUUUUGUAUAUUGUAACUUUAUAUAAAAUCUACAGAGUAAGACAUGGAAAUAAACACACUUUAGUUUUAGUUAUCCCAAGGCUAUAUUAUUAGACAAAGUUUCUACUGGAAAUAAAAUGAUGUACAAGUAUUUAAUACAGAGUUUUAUAUUGAUAUUAACCUUAUCCGUCGGAAAAAUGUAACGUCUAAGUUUGUAAAGAAAAAACAUCUAUAUUCCUUUUGUUUAGGUGCAUGAAUCUAUACACUGGAAUAGUUUGACCAAUUUGUUGCAAUCCUCUCUUUUUGCACAAAACGCCAUUGCCCUCAAAGCAGUGACUACAACUAUUAAUUUGCCAACCAUUUGGAAAUUUUUUUUUUUAUUUUUUUUUUUACGGUAUAUACAGGUAAAUAUUAGGUUUUAAAGAUACAUAAUAUACUUUUGGCAUAUUCAUACCAUUAACAUCAUACCUUUGGUCUAUUUAUGCCAUUGUUGACUGAUAGUUCCCUUUUCUGAUUUUUAAAUAAUAAGAAUUAAUUUUUCGACUCCACCUUUGCCACGUAUCUUUAUAUUACUGAUUCUUCUUCAUUUGACCCUACAUUUCUUUUAACCUUGAUUAUGGAUGAUUCACCAUACCCAAUCCGAUAAAAUCCAACCGUCUUUUAACCCAACCCCUAAUUCCUUGUCACGACCUAAUAAGAACAUCGGUUUCAUAUAAAUACGAAUCACUGAACACUAAUCUUUUUAGUCGUGACAAGUAAUUAAGGAUUGGGUUAAAAGAUGGUUGGAUUUUAUUGGGUUAGGCAUGAUUAAUUAUACAUAAUCAAGGUUAAAAGAAAUAUAGAAUCAAGUAAAGAAGAAUCGGUUAUAUAAAGACACGUGGCAAAGAUAGAGUCAAAAAAUUGAUUCUUUUUAUCUAAAAACUAGAAAAUAAAAUUAUUAGUAAACAAUGACAUAAAUAGGCUAAAGUAUAAUAUUAGUGGCAUGAAUAGGACGAUUUUUUAACGGAUAAUAUAAAUGGGUGAUUUAUGUGAGUUGAGUGACAUUAUUAGGAGCACUUUUUGGAACUACAAAUCUCUAAAUCUUACUGUCUUUAGUUUGGGACAAAUAAAAAGGACAAUUUAUUUUAAGGAAUGUGUAAUUCUAGAUACUUGAAUGUAUCUCUCUUUUUUCCAUUCUCACACUAUAUAUACUGAUGAUGACACAAAUUCCAAUCCGACCAUUUCCCUUCAACGUACAAAUGAAGAAAUUAGGGAAAAUAAUAAUUUUUCCUAAUUGUUUUGGAUAUUUUCAUAUAAAUAACGGAAUUCACUUUUUAAUAUUAAUUAACAUUGAAAUUGAUUAUAUUAACUUUUAUUAUCUCACAUAAACAUUCCUAACACAUACUUCAACAUUAUUUAUUUCAAGGACAAUGUAGGGAAAAAAUAAUUAAUUCAUUCGUGCAAUUAUUUUGGACCAUAAAAAAAGGUUAAAAAAUCACUUAUUUGGACCGGAGGAAGUAUUGCAUAGAUGCUCUCAAAAUAAUAGCCGAAAUAUAUAUAUAUAUANNNNNNNNNNNNNNNNNNNNNNNNNNNNNNNNNNNNNNNNNNNNNNNNNNNNNNNNNNNNNNNNNNNNNNNNNNNNNNNNNNNNNNNNNNNNNNNNNNNNNNNNNNNNNNNNNNNNNNNNNNNNNNNNNNNNNNNNNNNNNNNNNNNNNNNNNNNNNNNNNNNNNNNNNNNNNNNNNNNNNNNNNNNNNNNNNNNNNNNNNNNNNNNNNNNNNNNNNNNNNNNNNNNNNNNNNNNNNNNNNNNNNNNNNNNNNNNNNNNNNNNNNNNNNNNNNNNNNNNNNNNNNNNNNNNNNNNNNNNNNNNNNNNNNNNNNNNNNNNNNNNNNNNNNNNNNNNNNNNNNNNNNNNNNNNNNNNNNNNNNNNNNNNNNNNNNNNNNNNNNNNNNNNNNNNNNNNNNNNNNNNNNNNNNNNNNNNNNNNNNNNNNNNNNNNNNNNNNNNNNNNNNNNNNNNNNNNNNNNNNNNNNNNNNNNNNNNNNNNNNNNNNNNNNNNNNNNNNNNNNNNNNNNNNNNNNNNNNNNNNNNNNNNNNNNNNNNNNNNNNNNNNNNNNNNNNNNNNNNNNNNNNNNUAUAUAUAUAUAUAUAUAUAUAUAUAUAUUUGUAUACAUUAUGUAUGUUAUAUAUAAGUUUUAUAUAUUUUUUCGGCUACCAAAUGUAAAUAGUUUCUGGCGUAGAUUGAAAAUGAAAAAAGUCCAAGAAAUUAACAUAAACCAAUAUCAUUAACGAUUAAUUUUAUUUUUUGAUAACUGCCACACCUUCCUUUUUAUAUUACACACCUCGUGAAAGGUAUAUAAAGGAGUUUUUUUCAAUUUAAGUGACAAUCGAAAUGAGAUUAUUUAUUAAAAAAUUAGAGUCACCACUUGGAAUGAUUAACGGUGUCCCAAGUUACCGGUUAAAAUCCUGAAUCGAGAAAAAUAUUGACUUUGUUCAUGUCUGCGAAUCAGAAAUUUGGGUAAGGAAUUCUGUUAAUCCAGGAGAAGGUGUUAGACAUUCCCGAGUUCUGUGGUUCUAGAACGGUCGCUUUGAUCCUGCUUGGCUUACAAAAUUAUUUAAUUACUGAUUUUAGAACCUAGAUGGUUUUGCUUCUUUCCGCUUUUAAUUUAAGAAAAUUAUCUAGAAACGGGUUACGUGUACGUAUACCUAUUUGUUUGGCUCGUCAAAAAUCAUGUCCUGCGAACGUGUCCAUAAUUAAUAACGUUUUAUUAAUAUUAAGAGAAUUUAGCCAAAGUUGCACGAACGCAUACUCCGUUUGUGUUUUUUAAAAUCGUAAUUAUGUUACGCGAACAUAUACACAAUCACAAUUGUGUUUUAAAUGGCCCUAAAAACUUUUCUACAAAUAUUAAUCAUUUUAUAUCUAGGGUAUGGAAUUUAUACGAGGGCCAUGUGUGAUUAUAAUCAGGUGAAACUUUAUUAGUUUGAAGUUGCACGAACGCAUACUCCGAUUUGGUUUUUAGAAUCGUAAUUAUGUUACUCGAACUUACACACAAUUACGAUAAUAUUACUCCAUUUCUUUUUGACCAAUAUCCUAAAAUAAUUAUUUUGGCCGUAAUAGAUAACCGCCGACAGGAUAAUAGUUAAAAUAAUUUCAAUUAAGUUUGUUCAUACAUAAUUCUUCAGUAAAGUGCUUGGAAGUAUUUCUUCAACAGAAGCAUUUCUUUUACACUAGCCAAUAUAAACAUCUUAGUUAAAUAGCCAAUGUAAAUUUAGACUUCAACAUAGCUGAUAAAUUCGGAAAAUACUCUGUUCUUGGAACCAAUUAUGUCUCUCAAUUAUCAUUUGAAUACACCUAUAACAUGUAAAUAAAUUAGAACCUUAACGUCCAUUCAUGAUUACAGUGUUUACGACAAACAAGAGUGGCAUCCACAUUCUGCAUAUCCUCACUAACCAAGGAAAACUAGAUACACUACUUUAGUGGUUUCCUGGACCCAUCCAUAUUAACAAACAUAAUAGAGAUAAAGAUCCUUCAAUUCCAUAACUUACACUCUAUGAUAAUUAAUCAGAAUAGAGACGAACUUAUCCUACAAUGAACACGUCAAAACAAAUACAUGGACUUUGAAAAUACAGAUAGGUCCUGGGAAUGGACUGAACCAGACUUUCACACCUUUGAAAGGUUAAACGAGCGCAAGAAAUCAGACCCAAUGAGACUAACCAGCAAAUCAGACCAACGAGAGCCAACAGUCAGAAUUUGCACUCAGAAAACCGUAUAGAUACGUUGCUUGCACAGUGCAAAACAGGGCAUAUUUUUAGCAACCUAACCAUCUAAAAAGAUGUCCCAAAAACACUGCAUAUUUCAGCAUGAUUCAUUGCUUGAAUCAACUGUUUUUUAGCAGCGCGAAAGAACAAAGUUCUUAUAGCUGUAAUAAUACAGAUAAAUUUCAAGCAGGAGAAGGAAAAUAGCACAGAUCUAUCCAUAUACCAGCAGCGAAAUAGGAUGGAAGUGAAGAAUGAAGAACGACAAUACACGAGUGCUUGAGAAUAGAGACGGAGCUAGGAUUUGACGCUUAUGGGUUCGAGAUUCUAAUCGUUUUAAGUUACUAGGUUUUAAAUUAAUAACUUAUAAAUAUUCAAUGGGUUUUAAUACAAAUAUAGGGUUUGAACUAGGGGUGUAUAAAGGAAACCGACAACCCCCGCCAAACUGAUACUCCGAGUCAAACCGAGAAAAAAACCCGGCUAUAGUUUGGUUUGAUUUGGUUUGGUGUUAGAAAAAAAACCCGACCAUAAUUGGUUUGGUUUUGUUUUAACUAAAAAAAGUCAAACCGAAACCAAACCAACCGACAUUACGUGUAUACACGUUUUAAAAAUAUUUUAUUCUAAAAAAUAAUUAUUGUAAUGUAAUUUAUAGAUAUUCUUUUAAUUCUUUAAUAUAGUUCUCUGUUUUAAUGUAUAUUUUUAAGCUUAAACUUAGUAUUUUUGAUUGGUCAAAUUAUGUUUUAUAACCAUAAAAGUUAGAAACUCAAAUAAAAUCCAACACAAAAUUAAAUCAAUAUUAAUGUUAGCAAAUGAAUUCAAUGCAAUACUAUGAAUCACAAUAGUGUUUAAUAUUUAUAUUUUUAGUUUUACAUUGUCUUAGAUAGUGAAAAUGCAUAACUUACUUUUAAUAUUUUUUUGGUAAUUAAUUUUUUUUAUUAAUCACCAAAAAGUGAAGGCAUUACAAAGCAUAGCUUAGCUACUUCCAGCUAGCUAAAAUUCUCAUGAGGUUUACAAGGGGAAGACUAUACUAUCUUAACAUGCUAAAUAUAUUGCUAUCAGUGAUCUAUGCUAGAAAUACAGCUUUUGUACCAGUGUCUUUACAUUCCCUAUGGCCCUAAAAUUACAUAUGCAGACUAUCUCUCUUGCCAAGCUUGUGUAAUCUCUGAAUAUUUGUUGAAAUAUUCUCUGAUUCCUUUCUUUCCACAGAGCAUGAGUAUGUUUAACAUACAACGUCUUGAGAAGUUUUGCAACAACUGAUUUGCCUCUUGUGUGCUGACAAAUGAUUUGUAGUUGUAGUUCCCAUGUUGCACCACAAAUGUUCUGUACCUUUGCCUAUUGAUUCAAUCUGCACCACAACCUUUUAGCAUAGUCACAUUCAGCAAACAAAUGGUUCCUUCUUUCCAAGUUAGUAUGACAUAACACACAAGAGUCGUUUAUAUUGAGUCCCCAUUUCUUAAGCUUGUCUACAGUAAGUAAUCUUCCUUGACAUUGAAGCCACAUUGUGAUUAUAGCCUUAAGUCUGAUAGCAUUGUUACACAUUAGAGUUCUCCAGGUAGUUUUGGGUAACAGUGGAGUCAGUUGAAGAUAUAUCUGCUUAAUGAUGUUUUUCUUAACCUGUAAUGGCCUUUGCAGUUGCAUUAUUGUCUCCCUUGCUUCCAAUAUCUUCCUUACCAUCCAGCUUGUAUUCAUCGGGAUAGGCAUAGAGUAUAUGCUUUGCUCCUUGAUGUACACAGUAUGAAUCAACUUAAUUCACAAUUUUUCUUCCUUGUGAGAUAAAUCCCAGAAAGUUUUAGCAAUGGUAGUAUUCCAGGUGUGAAGGUUGUUUAGGUUAAGUCCACCAACUGUCUUAGGUAGACACACUUUAUCCCAGGCAAUGAGGGCCCUCUUUGUGAUUUCAUUCCCACCAUACUACAUGUAACUUCUACAAUAAGCUUCUAUUAAUUUGAUCACUUUGGCUGGUAAUUGAAAUAUUUGAGCCCAAUAUGAUUGGAUUCCAAACAACACAGUCUGUAUUAAUUGGACCCUUCCAGCAUAACACAAUAUUUUUGUAGUCCAUGAAGUAAUCUUUGCUACUAUUUUUGUAAUGAGAGGUUGCCAUUGUAACAUAUUCAUCUUCUUGGUGUCUAAUGUCACUCUUAGGUAUUUAAAGGGCAGUUGUCCUUAAGUAUAUCCCAUAUUAUGGAAGAUUGCAUCUAUAGUCCCUCUUUCCAUAUCUACGGUAUAUAACACUUUUAUUUAGGUUUGCUUGCAAUCCUGAAGAUCUCGAGAAUGUUGUGAAGCAUUCUUGUAACCUUUGAGUUAAGGAUCUAUCCUCUCUAGCACCUUACUUGAACAGGUUAAAUCUCGAGAGAGUAAUCACCUUACUUGAACCCUAGUUGCUUGCCCUAGUUUGCCUACCCAUUUGGUCUCGAGAGAGUCAAGUGGGCAAAGUCACUCUCCAGGCGAGGUGUGAGAGUGGGUAAAAUUGUGCAAUGGUUAUAUCAUAAGCUCAAAUAUGUCAAUCUAUCUUUAGUAACAUCUACCUGUCAGUUAGUCACCUAGGUGAUGCCACGACCCUAGUGCUCUUUUUCCCAUUAGAUACAACUUAGCAAUAUUCUCAUAACAUAAUUUAGUGUUAAUCAUUAGUUUUAUAAUAGUAGUUACAAAAUCAAAAAUCAAGAAUGUUUGAAGUGACAUUAGGAAUAUAAAUACAUCUCUAGACUAGACAGAAUAUCCAACUCCACUACUAGCUCCCUGAGAAAAUCAAUCCCGACCUCUAUUCGAGUAAAAGGUGUUGCAGCCCGCUCUUCCUACCUUGGUGUAGCGUCGAGUUGGCAGCGAUUAGUAGUGGUAUUGGAAUUGGGUUAUGAAAACGGAAAAUAAUGCAUCUACAAUCAGAAUUUAAAUAAUCUAUGUUUGAAUUGACAUUAGGAGUACAAACACAUCUCUAGACUAGACAGAAAAUCCAACUCCACUACUAGCUCCCUGAGGAAAUCGAUCCUGACCUCUAUUCGGGUAAAAACUAUUGCAACCCACUCCUCCUACUUGGUGUAGCGUCGAGUUGGAAGCGAUCACUUUUUGGCGCCGUUAUCGGGGAGCUUACGGUGUUGGCUAUCUGUUUAGUUAGUUUUGUGUUUUGUUUCUCUUUCUUUCUUGUUUACUAAUUUUGUUUAUGUCGAUCACUCAGGUACACAUGGCUCUUAAUGCAAAUGACCCUCUUGGCAAUGUCAUGGAGGGGGAGGAGGUAGACGAUCUUGAUCAAGAAGAGGUUCCUAAUUUACCUCAAGCUCCACGUAAAGGCCGUCAGGCCUAUGUAAAUGACAACAAUCCUAUCCCAAACCCUCCUCCGCCGCCGCCAAGAGUGUCCCCAAGAGUUCUCCUAAAUCAAAUGUAUGUGAGUGCUAUUGUUCCUCCCCGAGUUAUGGUGGGGAACUUUAAUAACAAAUGUCAUGUUGACCUUGCUUGAGCAAAGUGGGUAUUUCACGGGCGCCUCUGUUAAAAAUGCUUACAAGCACUUGAAGGGGUUCGUAGAAACAUGCUAGGGUAGCAAGUAGACAAAUGUGUCCGAUGAUUCUUUGAGAUUGAGGCUUUUUCCAUUCUCUCUUCGGGGUAAAGCAUUGGAUUGGUUAGAAAGGCUCCCCAAUCAUUCCAUCACAAGGAUGCUUUGAGAUUGAGGCUUUUCCCACUCUCUCUUUGGGGUAAAGCAUUGGAUUGGUUAAAAAGGCUUCCCAAUCAUUCCAUCACAACUUGGGAUGAGUUGGCAGAUAAAUUCAUUGGUAAGUUUUUCUCACCAAGUCAUAUGGCGGCACUUCGGGAUGAAAUCUUAGCCUUCAUGCGAGAGCCAACGGAAUCUUUGCAUGAAAUUUUGGAGAGAUAUAGAACAAUGGUGAAGGAGUGCCUAAUAACUACAUGACCGAGGCGAUGAUCCAACAAAAUUUUUAUCAGGGCAUUAAAACCACGAAUCAAUGCAUUGUGAAUCAACUGGUUGGAGGGAACUUUAUGAAACUUUCUUACCAAGAGGCAUGUGAUGUACUUGAUGAAAUGGCCGACACCACUUCGGCAUGGAAAAGUAGAGCUAACAUUCCUCAAGGUGACUCUACAGUUAUUCAUUUACAUAAGAAGUUGCAUGACCAUGGGCAAGCUAUAGCGGAGUUGACAACCACUAUGAACCAAUUGGCGAAGGUGCAAUUGCGACAAGUCAAAAUCCACUCCAAGUCAAUGCCAUGUAAGGUGUUUCUAUGCUAAAAAGGAGGCAAAGAGGGCAACAGCUUCAAGGAAAUUGUGAACAAUAUGAAAACAAUGGUAGUGGUGGUUUUUCAAAUGACUGAGGGAAACAACAACCUCAAGGUAAUUGUGAGCAAUUUGACAACAACAAUGAGGGUGGUGAUUAUUUGAAUUUAUGCUAUGAUGAUCAAAGCGAGGAAUAUCAAUAUGUCAAUAACUACCAAGGAAAUAGAGGAAAUCUAGGGAAUCAACAAUGGCGUCCCCAAGGAAAUUUGGCAAUCAACUAGGCGGUGGUAAUUGGAAUAAUAACAACAAGGUGGAGAAAAUUAGAACAACAACAAUCAAAACAACAAUUGGGGUAACCAUGAUAACAAUCAAGGCAAUUGGAAUGGGAACAACAAUAAUUGGAGCAACAACAACAACCAAAACAACAAUUGGGGUAACCAAGGUAACAAUCAAGGCAAUUGGAAUGGGAACAACAAUAAUUGGAGCAACAACAACAAUCAAGGAGGGUGGAAUAAUAGCAUAAAUCAAGGCAACCGGGGGCAAGGCUUUCAAAGCCCCCCAUGUACCAAUAAUCAAACAAUCCAGCUCUGUUUCAAUCUCAAGGGUCUAGUUCUUCGGGUAAUGAUAUGGUAAGGAUAUAAAUGAUAUUCGAAUAAAUGAUGAAGAAGAACCAAGACUUCGAUGCUCAAUUGGCUUCCCACAAUACCUCUAUUCGGAACUUAGAGGUACAAUUAGGCCAAAUCUCUCAAUCGUUGAAUACUCAACCUAAGGUUGCUCUACCAAGUGAUACGGUAGAGGUAACAGUCAUGUGAUGGCAGUUACAACAAGAAGUGGGAGAGGCGGUGAUGUGCAUUCCUCGAAAGAAAAUCAAGUUGUGGACGAUAAUGUUGGGAUCCAAGAAGAUGUGGGUUCGUUUAUUGUUGAAGAAGUGGUUGAACGAAAUGUGAACAAUGAUGUGCAGAUUGAUAUUAAUGAUGAGGACGAGGUAGAAACACAAGAUUUCGUGAACCCGUCUAGGGAACAUGUGAUUGCUAUACCCGAGCCGAUGGUGCCCAAAGCCAAGGAACCUUUGCCUAGACCACCUCCACCUUAUCCUCAACGGUUAGCAAAGUAAAAGAGUGACAACCAAUUUAACAAGUUCAUUGACAUGACGAAGAGCCUCACAUUCAAUGUCCCUUUGGUUGAGGAACUUGAGCAAGUGUUUAUGAAAGAUUUGGUAACAAAGAGGAGGUCCAUGGAGUGCAAAAUUAAGAUGACUCAUCAAGUGAGUGCUAUCAUGCAUUAUAUGGCCCGAAAAUGUUAGGACCCGGGGCUUUUGCUAUCCCUUGCACAAUCGGUAGUGCGGAUUUUGCCAAGACCCUUAGUGAUUUGGGGGCUAGCAUAAAUUUGAUUCCUUAUUCUGUCUUCAAGACUUUAGGAAUCAGGAAACCUCGACCUACCUCAAUGAGACUUCAAAUGGCGGACCGAUCAAUGAAGCGACCCUUGGGCAUAAUUGAUGAUAUUUUUGUCCGUGUUGAUAAAUUCAUAUUGCCGGCUCACUUUGUAAUAUUGGAUUGUGAGGUGGAAUUUGAAGUGUCGAUUAUUCUUGGGAGACCUUUCCUAGCUACGUGGAAGGCCUUGGUUGAUGUCAAAGCGGGUGAGGUCACUUUCUAAGUGGGUGAUGAGAAGGUUGUUUUCCCUGUUUGCAAAUCCAUGAGGAAAACUAAUGGCACCGAGGUGUGCUCUUUUUGUGGACAUUGUCAUAGCUGUGAUAUUAGAUGAUAUAAGUUCUAUGAUUAACAUUGAAUACCUCCUUGUUAUCGAGCCUCUAAAUCGUGAUGUCAAUGAUGAUGCAAGUAGAGUGACGUGUAUAGAUUCUUUAGAUGUUAUGGAAUCUUGUGAGCCCAAUAAAUUUUCUUUGGAUCUUGAAACCCGACAAAUUCCACUGACAAAGCCAACAAUUGAGGAGUCACCGGGGUUGGAAUUAACUCCACUUUCUCCACACCUUAUUCCCACGGUCUGUAUGUCUAAAACUAUCUUCGAGAAUGAUGUGAAACCUUUCUUGGAGCAUGAAGGAUUGGAUGAGGUGAUGCAAGAAGUGGAGGUCUACCCUGUUUCUAACGAAUCUUGGAUUUCUCUGGUGGAUUGCAUAUCGAUGAAGGAUGGCAUGACCAUAGUGACAAAUGCUCAGAAUGAGUGGAUUCCUGCAAGAACACACACAGGUUGGCAGGGUUGCAUGGACUAUAAAAAAUUGAACAACGUGCCUCAUAAGGAUCAUUAUCACUUGCCAUUCAUUGAUCGGAUGCUCAACCAACUUGCUGGGUGUGCUAUUUAUUGCUUCUUGGAGAGUUUGAUUAGAGCAACGUGGUGGUGCUUCUUGAUUUAAAGUAAUGUGGUGGUACCCGCAUCGUGCCGAUAUGUUAAAUCAGGCGCUUCUUGGGAGGCAACCCAUGUCUUUUUCUUUCUCUUUGAUUUUCUUUAUAGUUUAGGAUUUUUGAGAUAAUUGGUUGUGAGAUGUUGUAGGGAUUAUGUUGAUGGAGUGCAAAACAAGUUGGAACAAAUUGAACAGUCUCUGAAAUUUGCAAGUGUAGCCGUAGUGCACUUUUUCACGGUCCACACUAGCAUGGUCCAAAUGUGAUGCUCUCUGAAGCUUUCUACUGCGGCCGUAUUCCAUUUAGAGAAGGUGUCUUCUAGGCCUUUGCCCAGUGUGGACCGCGGUCGCCUUAGCGUGGUCCGCGGUGCCCCUAACGAAGCCGCACUCCUGAUGGUGUGGGUCGUGGUGCCUUGUUCUGCACCUAUGUCUGCAACACUUUCACCUAUUGUUCUGCAAUUCAUUUCAAUAACUGGUUCACUGCCCAUGCUUAAACUAACAAUGUUAGUUAUGGUUGCUGGCAGAUAAUGGUAAAACAACUAGGUAGAGGUGCCAAACAACCUGGCGAGGUGACCUCUCCGGGGGAGGAAAAGGGAAACAAGUUAAACUCACUCUCGGCCUAAACUGAAAAGAAAGAAACAAGUUAAUAUAGCUAAUGACCAAUCGGGGAGUGAGUAUGUACCCUCUCAAGACAUGUCUUUUGACUUAGUUCUAGCUCAUUCAGUCCCAGCUUCACCUAUAGCCCAAGCUCCACAGCUUGUACCUUCUGAGUCAUCUAAUGGUUCAGUAGCCAGCAGUGAUGAAUACUCCACUUCCCCCACAGCUUCAGUGGACUAACAGUGACGAUUAGGUACCUGACAACGGUGUUUCCCAUGUUGGGGGUGUUGACGAAAAAGAAAACCUGAAGCUUGGGAAGAUCGAUUUGUCAGCCAAGUGACUUUCCACAAGUUCAGGGAAUAGUGGCCAGUACGGAAGCUGAUUCCAGAGAGGAGUAUCAUCACAAGUGACCUUCUUCCCCUACAUCUAAAUGUACAUAGACAGUUUCAUACUUGAAUGGGUUGGGAGCAUUUUCGAGAUGAGUGUAUAGAAGCCAAUGAGCACAUGGUCAAGGAGUUCUACUGCAAUGUGGCCCACAUAAAAAAGGGUUCAAUAGUGACCAAAGUGCAAAAGAGAAGUGUAGUGUUCUCCGGGUAAGCUUUCAAUGAUUACUUGGGGUUUAAUGAUGAAGAUGAGACCCAGUACAAUGAGAAGCUAAAAAUGAAUGAAGAGGUUCGCUCGUGGUUAUCUAGAUACUUGGCUCACUCGGGUACUGUUCUAGAUUGGAUACAAGCACGAGUGAAGAUUGUUCGGAGGACAUUGAAGUUUGAGGCUGGGGGGUGGUUGACCUUUUGUAUGCAACCGACUUGAUCUUACUUACCAUGAUCAAACCAUCCCACUUCCCUGUGCAGUUUUCAUUGCUUCUAUCAUGGCGGGCUUCCCUAUCAAUAUGGGAAUAUGAUGCACCGGGCUAUUACUUCAAUAGGGGGUUGAUAGUGACCGGAACUGCCCGUCUAACACCCUUACAAUGUACUUCCGAGAUUUGAAAGUAAAGAAGAAUUCAUUUGAUGUGAAGGUAAGACCGGUGGCCCUAUUCUCAUGGCAUAGCUUACAGGGGCCUGACAACCCAAAGGAUAAGAAGUACAAGCUACCUGCUUCUGCCCCAACUGGCCAGUUUGAGGAGCUAUAUGCGGUAGAGCCUUCUGUUGAGCCUUCCACUGAGCCCUCCACAUUUCCUGCUGCCAUUGUGAACAUGUGGUUUUUGCCUCGUGUGAAUCUCCCCUUAGAUUUAAGAUAUUUCCUUUUAAUUAUUUAAUUUUUAGGAUUAAUUGCAUAAUUUUUGUGUUUGUUUGUAUUUUUUAUGCAUUUUUAAUUUAGAUAAAUUCAUAAAAUAUACAAAAAUAUUGAAUUUGCAUUUAGGAUUUGAUUAAUUGGUAAUUAGGAUUUUACAAAAAUAUAUAUAAACAAAAAUUGAUUUAUUUUUUACUUUGGUUAAUUUGAAUUGUGUUAGCUUCUUUUAAAUUGAUUAAUUGUGUUAAUUAUUAAUAUUUUGAAUUUUACGAUUUAAUUUAAUUUUAAUUUAAUUUUAAUUUUGAAAAGGAAAAGAAAAGGAAAUUAAAAAAGAGAAAUUGAGCCCUUAAAAUAAAAUUCCCAAUUUGGGCUGACGCAAUUAGACCUCCCAACCCAUCCAAAACCCCCCUGAACCGGCCCAAACCGGUUCCCUAACCCGGUCCAGUCCCAAUAAUAAUUUAAACGACGUCGUUUUGAAGGCAAUAGAUCUGGACCGUCGAGGUUUGUUGAUCUAACGGUCCAGAAGCUUGGGUCUUUAGGUAUAUAUAUGUCCAAACGUAGCCUCACUCCCCUCUCUUGUCUCCUCUCUCAAAACAGUCAAAUCCUAGAGACCAGCCUGUCUUCGCCGUCUGCCGCCCGUCGGAUAUCGUCUCCGCCGGUGGCCAAUCACCACCAAAUUCACUCCCCAGAUUCCUCUCCUUCUCCUCUUUUUAAAUCUCCAAACCCCAUCCCUCGAAUCACACCUAAGCUUCUUGAAUAUUGCUCAAAAGUUCUGAACCCUCCGCCGUGGUCGGCGGCGCUACCACUAACCACCACCAAAAUAAUACCAUGAGACCUCCUUACUCACCUCUUCCCAAAUCCGUAAUCCUUUACCCUCAACAUACCCAGAGCUCCUCGAAUUUUGAAUCUGAGGUUCAAGCCCUAAGAGUUCAGAUUGGAACCUGAACAUGGAAGGUCUUUUUCCAGUAUUCAGGAGUGUUAAUGGGUGAGUUUUUUUAGUUUUGUUUGUUUAUUUCACUCAUAUUUGAAUUAGUUGAACCCAGUUCUACUUUUCCCUUUUUAAGUUAAUAUUUUACAUUCAUGUUUAGUUUCUUCUUCCGCAAUUGCUUAUAAUUUGUGCCUUGAGUUUUGCUUGACCAUUUUUCUUAGAUUUUAGGUUUCAAAUUCCCAAUUUUCCUUGUUCAUACUGAUUGGUACAAGGUAGCAUGUUCUGUUUGAUCAAUUUUAUUUGUUUCGUUUGAUUGAUGAUCUAUAGUAGUAGAUUUCAGUUUUGGGUUUAAGUAAUUAAAAUUAAUUUGAGCCUAAAAUUAAAGUGGUCUGGAUUUGCCUUCCAAGUUUUGGGUGGGGAUUUACUACGGUCUUUGGUGCCAUUUGGUCAUUUCUGAGUGUUCAAACCUUCGAAAAUAAGCAAGGUCAUCACUGACCAAGUUUAAAGGGCUGGUAUAGUUGGAAUUUGGUUUAGUUUAACCUAAGCUAUCAAUUUUAUGGGUAAAUAUAGGGGUAGUCAUGGUUUGUUUAGGAACUCUAGCUUAAGGAAUCUCUUCAUAACCGAUUUAGAAGCUUCUAGUGUGGGGUUAAUUUCAUUUUCAGCAUUUGGGUAGGUUGACUGGGGUAGCAAGUAACAAUUUCAGGGGUUCCUAAGCUAAAACAAAAAUUUAAAAAGGACUCAAGGGGCAAGAAAUAAAAUCAGAAGUUGCCCUACUUGCUUGCAUAUAAAGGCAUAGAUAAGAGCUUAGAAAAUAGAGAGCUGACAAAAUUAGAAAAGCUAAAAAAUAGAUCAUAUUUUAAGAGAUUUUACAUAUUUCAGUGUUCUAUUGAAAAUCCCUGAAAUCCUUUAAGUCUCCAUUUUGAAAUAAAUCCUAAAUAGCUGAAAUGGGUGAAAAUGAUUUGAAUCCGCUUGGGUAUUCAGCUGUUGUGGGUCGUUUUUUUGUUGAAUCUUCAAUCACUAGGUUUUCUUGAUAUUGUUGUUGGUUCAAACCUCUUUUAAGCGAUCAUUUCUGGACCAUUUUUUCUGUUGAAAUAUUGUCCUUGUUACUGUUAUUGUUGAACUUGUUGCCUCUUACUCCUUCCUUAUUUCCUUCUUCUUCGAGGUAUAUCUUCAAACUGUAGUGGAAUGAAGUUUUUGAACAAGACUGUAUGAAAAACCUGAAUUCAAAUUGAAGUUUAAGUUGAAAUACUAGUUUUUGGUGUAUUUGUGAGACCAUUUUGAUCAUUAUGUGUGCUUGAAUUAUUUAUUUUUAUGUAAAUUCAAGUUGGACUACUGGACUAUUGGACUGUGAAUUCGUUAUUUAGGACUGUAGAUUUAUUAUUUAAUGGUUAAUGUUAUAGCAAUGCUUGGUACCUAUUUGUACAAAUGAACUGCAGUUUGGUUGAAUGAUCUGUAAGAUGAGAAAUCACUGUGUAAAUGAACUUGGGUCCAUGAAUUUAUCCUUUUGUUGUGCAUGGAUCGAAACAGCAUGUCCACUUAGUCAGUAAUAGAGUUCUAUAAUUCCAAGUAGCAAUUUUCUCAAAUAAAUGUUUAAAGAUCAAUAUCAGCAUAUAGGGUAACCUCAGUGCAAAAUAUUGUGACCAGUUAUGUUGAUGUAGAGUUGAUAUUGUUGGAUUCCAUUGCCUUUGUUAGUCUUCUAAAAUGAAUUCAUGAUUACUUCCAUUAUUUGAUCAGCUAAUGUUAAGAUGAAAACAAUUUCCCUGGUUCAUGUGGAGGGAUUCGAUGCUGGGGUCCUUAAUAUCGAGACUCAACAUUUGGCCAAUUUUGAGGCCUAGCUCUGAAGGUCCUUUGGGUCAAAAUGGAUCAUCUCCUUGGCUAGGCCACCAAUCUUUUAUGGUGGUUCAAGUUUUCUAUGCAAUGCAUUAAUUUCCUUUUAAUUGUGUUCAGCCAUUAGGUAACCGGGUCAAUAGCCAAUUGAGGUGGGGCAUAAUAGAUAAUAAUAGCUCAUUAGUCCUUCGAAUUUUAGUUCGAAUGUCCUUCAAAAAAUGAAAUCGAGAUGCGCCGCGCCAAAAUAAAAUCACAAAUUGUUUGGACCUAUUUUGUUAUAUCUUUAAAAAUCUUUAGAACUAGCAACACGCCAUUUAGCGAAUUUUCGUGGCCUCCCGCAAAGUCAUCAACACGAUAGUUACUUUUAGGUGCGUUAUUUAAUAAUUUUACUUUCUUAAACUCGGUGCGCAUAUCAUGUGACCCAAAUCCAAAUCCUAAAAUGUCGAAUAAAAUAUGUUUCGAAUUGCGGGUGCAUUUCAUGUGACGCGAUCCGAAGACACAUUUUAGACGACGUUCAAAUUUCGCUAAAAAUAAUUAAAAGUGGUAAAUAAUUUAAAAUUGCACUAUUUGUUUGAACAUAUAUUUAAUAUCAGAUAAUAGGUCAAUUAUGAUAGAUUAAGCGACCGUGCUAGAGCCACGAAAUCCGGGGGUACCUAACACCUUCCCUCGGGUUAACAGAAGUCCUUAUUUAGAAUUUCCGGUUCGCAGACUUCAAAAGAAAAGUCUAAUUUUCCUUGAUUUAGGAUUUUAAAAUAAAUGGUGACUUGGGAUACCAAAAACGAACUAUCCCAAGUGACGACUCUGAAUAAAAGCAAAUAAAUAAUCCUAUUUUGAAUAAUGUCACUUAAAGUGGAAAAACUCCCUUAUACUCUACCUUUCGAUGUGGUGUGUAAAAAAGGAGGUGUGACAGCUCUUGAGACUCUACUGGGGAUAAAAACCCAGAACUUCGGUUCAGAGUUCAAGAAUUCGAGCUUAGAAUAGCUUUUAUGAUUAGCUUUAUCUGAUUUUCCUACUUGUUUCAUGCUAAAUGUGCCAAAUGCUUUACCGCUUUGAUAUUUGGUGAUUGCAUAUAUAAACUACUAUGAAACCCGUCCUCUCUUUGAGUCUUCUACAUCAUGGAGAAGUGUGCACUUCGUGUGACUUCUCUUCUAUUUAGAAUCUUAUCCUAAUUCAGAACGAGGUUCGGACAAGUUGCUAAGCCGGCGAAGCUUCUGUAUUCCAGGUAUGCCCUCCCGGGCUUGAGUUGUCCGCUCGGGUAAGCCAAGUCUAGAACAAUAAACCCAUGUUUUAAACCUAGUAUAACAAAGCUUCAUGUCGGAUCGCUAGUAGGAAUAUUUGUUUGAAUCACGUGCAUUUGACUUAGGGGACUCAAUACAUUGGUUGGGUCCGUCUAGGAUAGGUGACCUGAAAUGAAAAGACCAUCAUUGAGGAAAACCAAUAUCCAAAUCAUAUGAAACUCUGCCGAAAUUUUGAAAAAAAAGGAAAAAAAAUGAAAAGAAAAAGGGAAAAAUGAAAGAGAAAAGGAAAAAGAAAAGUUUUUGUUUUCUUUAAAAAUAGUUGGUUUUGUCAAAUCUGCCCGAACUACGCAGUUUGAUUCUCACCGGAUGUGGGAUAUGUAGGCAACCCCUAUCGGGUCCAGCUUCCCUUUUUGAAAAUAUAGCCAAAAACUUUUUAAAUUUAGUCACAAAUAAUUCAAGUGAUGCCAUUCUUGUUUAAAAUAAGCCGAAUGUCCCCAAAAAAGCGCUGGAAGGAUGUUUUGCAAGAACAAUCACCUUGCAACAUUUUUUCAAUGGUUAGGAGGCACAACCCUAAAAUCUUCUUCCUCGAAGUGCUACAAGUUCGUAUCUGCAAAACCAGGAUUUUAUUUUUAAAAUUAAAAUUUAAUAAAAAAGACAUUGUUAUUUCUCCUUUUAGAUUAAAAUAAGUCAUUAAAUCGCCUUAAUAAAUAUGCAAGAUGAGCACGAAUGAAAUUGAACCCUUCACAAUCCUUAAUGAGAUCCCCCUGAAGCUCCACAUGUGGUGGAAUGAUCUAGGAAAGGGCAGCAGAGAAACAGUGAUGAAAGUUCUAGGAGGCAUUGUCAGACUAUUAAACAUCAAGCCGAGGUUGGACAUAAUUGAAGCUUUAAUACUUUUUUGGUACCGUACUUGCAACAUGUUAUAUUUCUCUGACUUUGAGCUCACAUCGUCAUUGGAGGAAGUUGCGGGUUAUGCUGGCCUAAAUGGAAACCUUAAAAGUCGAUCUAUUGUCACCAAGACCGGUGUCCCCCCCACAGGUUUUUGGAUUUGCUAUGUAUUAGUCAGGAUGUUCAGGACAGAAAUCUAUCUGAAUGGUAUUGCACACUCCAGUUUUUGUAUCAUUGAUAUGGUAAACCCCGAGGUUUUGACGAGCCGAACACUGGUCUAACUCACGCCGGAAAUAAAGACAAAUGGGAGGCAAAGCGGGGUUUAGAUUUCAUGGUAGCUUUCUUGGGUGUUGUGGUCUGUCCCCAGAAAGAUAGGAAUAUAGAGAUAGGUCUUGUAGGAAUGAUCGAUGUCGCAAUCAAUAAAACCAACAUCACUGUGGUUCCUCUGAUCGUUGCUAAAACCUACUAAGCUUUGACUAUCUGUCGGGGAGGGGAAAGUUUUUCCAGGGUUGCAAUUUGCUACUUCAAUUAUGGAUGCAAGAACUCCCCUGUCACUGGGUUGGGUAUCGGAAUUAUGGUUUGACAGAUUUGAGCUGCAUUGAAGAGUUUGCAAGCCGAGUAGCAUGUAUUGGAUUCCCUACGGGUACCGAAGCUUGGCUUGUACAUUUGAGAUCCUUGACUGCCGAUAAAAUUGAGUGGGCAUUUGGAUGGCUUCCCGUCACCGAAGCGGUGUACAUGUCGGCUGAAGUAUCUUAUAUCCUCUUGAUGGGCACUCGGAGCAUCCAACCUUAUGCUGCCUACAGAGUGUUGCGCCAAUAAGGAAGAUUUCAAACCAUCCACAAUGAUGAAGAUUUGAUUAAGUAUGACAUUGAACUGGGCCCAAAAGCUGCAUUUCCCGAAGGAAAAAUUCACCAAGUGUGGAAUGAGUGUAGGUUUCUUGAACCUAAGACCAUAGUCCGAGACAGAGCUACAGGUAAAGUGGACCCUAUGUACAUUGACUGGAUCGACAAGAAAUUCUAAAUACUUGAAAGACCUACAAAGAGACCACAUAUCCAACAAUUCACAGUUGAGGCACAAAUGCAAUAAGACUGGUUGAUCAAAGAGAAAUAAUACAAAGCCAAAAUAAUCAAAUUGGAAAGGCAAGUCAUGGAGAUUCAAUUUGAAAAUGGUGUUCAAACCGCAGCCGACGAGGGAGAAAAGAAGAAACUGACCCAGGAAAAUAAGGCCCUUAAAGCUCAGAUCAGAAAGAUGAGAAUAACUACCAAUAACCCGGAAAGAAGUCGGGAUGAUGAGAGACUUAUAAGCGGACUAAAAAGGAAAGUCCUCAAAUGUCAAGAAGAUCUGGAAAAGUUUGAAGAUAGUCUAGCAAAAAUCCAAGCACAAUGGACAAAGAAAGCAAAAGAACGGGCACGAUUUGUGCAACAAAUGAAGAGGAACUAUGAAAGGACCAUUACCAGCUUGAGAAGAAAGGUACACACUCUUGAGGACGAGGCAAUCAAACGAGCUAAAGAUUUCAAGGAUGAUAGGGAGCACUAUUAUAAUUUGAUGGCUAAAAUGGAGGAAGAAAUACAACAAAUGCAAGAUUAACACUUUCAUGACUCCCAAGUGUUAGAAGCCUUGAAUCGGUAGAUAGGGCGAUUACUUCAGGAAAAAGGCAGAAUUAGAGAAAGGAUCAGAACCCUCGUAGACUACAUUUCCAUGAAAUGCCAAGCGUGUAAGGACAUGACUCGUACCACUUUUUUUGUCGCAGUAAUGACUUUUGUCCGUCAAGUUAUGAGUGAUUUAGAGCAACUACAAAAGGGGUCUUGCACAUAGGACCGAGCGAGGUCGAAUGAUGCCCCCCCAGCCCUAGUAGUUGAAGCAUUAAUGUAUUCCUGAGUUUUCAAUCAUUGAGUUUGUAUUUUUGUUUAAUUUUGAGUCUCUAGUUUUAUUUCCAAGAAAAAGAGUAGUUGACAUAUUUUGUAAUUGAAGUUUUAAUUGAACAUUCCCAAAUAUUGUCUCUUUACUUUUUGUAUUUAUUUCUCUUGAACUACGUAAUGACCUGAUUCACGCUACAUCGUGAUACGUAGGCAAUGCUUAUAGGAUCCGUUCAUAAUUAAAUCAAAUAAGAAAAACAAAUAUGAGAAAAGUAUAGAAGAGAAGAAAAGCAAGAAAAAGAGUAAAUUCAAAAGGAGAUAAAGUGGGGAAAGAAUAAAGAAAAGCCGGGACGAAGCACGCAACCGGUGCAAAAGAUGUAGAAACCCAUUUAAUUGCAUAGGUGCAUCACACCCCCAAUGUGUGAUUACCUAUCCGUUAUUUGUCACAAACUAACCGUUUGCUGUUGUCCCUUCCAGUCUAGGGCUUUAUAGAAAGGUGGUUGGUUUUAGUGGUAACUUGGCUUCACACCCAUACUUUACUAGAUCAAAGUGGAGCAUAAGAAUGUCUUCAGAAAUGACUCUACCAACGGCUCCCAUUGCAGACAAUGCCCUCAUCUUGGGAAACCCGACCUAUGAAUCGGCAGCUGUCGAAGAGAACAGAAUCCUGCGUCUUAGGGAUAUGAAAAUGUGGGAAGCUUGGGAAAACGUAAGAGAGCUACCAAGCACAAUCUCGGGAUUCCCCGCACCUUUCCGUAGAACGAGUGGCACCUCCAAUGUCCUAAUCAGUCACCCAAGUAUCCCACUAGGACAACCAACUAUAUUAGCUCAUUUCGUGGGAACGCCUUCUGAGGUUCGCCCCCAGGUGUUCAUAUCCAGUGUGGCUCCAAACAUUUUCACCGCUCCCCCAUGCUCGGCCACAACACAGCCUGCACUACCUGGGCUUACUUUCGAUCAUUCAGCCCUUACAUUCCAAACACCUGCCCUCCAAAUGGAGCCUCCUCAAUUCCCCACAUAUACCUACCCUCAGCCACCUCAAUUGGAGUUCAAUCCGGGACAAGAAAAGACUCCCAAAACUCCUGAGCAAUUAGAGAUCGCAAGAAAGAUGAGGAGUAUAGAGCAAAGCCUCAAGAACAUCCAGGGUUUGAGCGGGCAGAAAAGAGUGUCUUACACUGUUCUAUGCAUGUUCCCCCAUGUGCACUUGCCCUUAGGAUUCAAGACUCCAAAAUUUGAGAAGUAUGAUGGGCACGGUGAUCCUACUGCUCAUCUCAAGAAAUACUGCAAUCAGUUGCGAGGGGCCGGAGGACGGGAUGAAUUACUCAUGGCCUAUUUUGGAUAAAGUCUGAUUGGUAUUGCGUUCGAGUGGUACGUCGAUCAAGACAUGUCUUGUUGGCACAUUCGGGAGGACCUUGCUAGAGAUUUUGUCAGAAAAUUCCAGUGCAAUAUAGACAUUGCUCCAGAAAGAAACUCAUUGACAAACUUGAAAAAUAAGACCUCGGAAAGCUUUAAGGAAUACGCAAUCAAAUGGCGUGAACAAGCAUCUAGAGUAAACCCUCUGAUAUACGAAGUCGAGACAGUCACAGUUUUUCUUCAAGCUCAAGAAGCUGACUACUUCCAGAAUAUGAUGUCAGGUAUGGGUAAAUCGGUCGCGGAGGCUAUCAAAAUCAGGGAAAUGGUGGAAAAUGGAUUAAAACAGGCAGAAUUCUAAGCAAAUCUGGUAUCAGAGCAACCUCCCAAGCCAUUCAGGACGGGUCUGGAGGAGUAGCAAGGGGCAAGAAGAAAGAAGAAACAUCUAUGGCAGCAUCAGGAGCGAGAAGAAAUCGUGUUCCCAAAUCCAUGUUCCCAGAAAGGACCCCUCAACAUGAAUACCCUUACCAGGACAUGUCCUAUGCUCCUCAGUCGUAUGCGGUCAUGAAUGCUCAACCUUUUGUCCAGCCUCAGCAACAAGCCUACAUGAACCAAGCUCUAUUCCCAAGAAACAAGCCUCCUCACUAAAACCACUACAACCCCCGUCCUCCGCAAAAUAACUUCCGUCCUCGUGAACCACCCAAAAGGACAAAUUUUACACCAAUCGGUGAACCCUACUCCAGUUUGUUUUUGAAACUUGUCAAAAUGGAAAUGUUGUAGCCCGUACCUCCAAAUAGGCAAAACCCAGAAUCACCUUCCUAUCAUCGGGGCACCCGAUGUGCCUAUCACUCAGGAGCUGAGGGACACGAUAUAGAAAACUGUUGGACCUUUAAAAGAGUUGUGGAGGAUUUAAUAAAACAGAGGAGGAUAUUGUUAAGGGACAAGUACAUCCCCAACGUGACCAACAACUCAGUGCCGACCCAUAACAACUGACUGCUAAUCGGAAUGUUCUGUAAAGAAAAGGAAUUCAACCCGAUAUUGAAGGCCAUAAUUGGCAUUUCCGAUGUGGAGAGAAAGCCAAAAACUUCCCCGAAGCAAGAUGAAGGGGAAACAAAGAACAAAGCCACACACCCCAAAAUAAAAAAGAAAAUUGAGGCAAAAAGUGGGGCAACGCCCCCCAAAGACGUUGUUCUCUAUGUCACACGGGGCCGCAAGGAAAAGUGCUUGACUUUGAGUCCUCCCAAGAGAUUCGAACUGAACAAGACCACCCAGAUGUAUGUGCCCAAGGGAGCUUAUGUACUGUGGGGGCCAACUAAUCCACCAAGGCUGAGUGAGCCCGUGGUUAUUGGUAGCGCUUCAUAGAGGCCCAUUAUAGAUCCUUCUGCCGAUCCCUGGAAUUACCAUAAAAUAGCGGUGACGUAUAAAGGGAAAGAAAUCUCAGGAGAAGAAAGCUACCCCAUUGAAAACUACUCCAAUUUUUAAGAAGUGAACAACGCCACCAGGAAGCACUUCCUAGCUAAAAAAACCAGUGAGUGCCGAAGAGGCAAAAACGUUUUUUCAAAAAAGGAAAAUGGCGGAUUAUGAAGUGGUCGACCAGCUUCGAAAGUUUCCUAAACAAAUAUCCUUGCUGUCUUUGCUGAUGAAAUCCCCUGAACACCAGAAGGUACUAAUCAUGACCCUCAAUAAGGCAUACGUGCCGGCUGAGACUUCUAUGGAACAAUUAGAAAGAAUGGCAGAAAGAUUUUUCGCUGUCAACCAUAUUUCAUUCAGCAAAAAUGACUUGCCCCCAGAAGGGGAUACACAUAACAAAGCCCUACACUUAACUGUCAAAUAUGAAGAGUAUUAUGUGAAAAGGGUUAUGGUAGACGGAGGUUCCAGGGUGGAUAUCUGCCCACUCUUAAACACUAAAGCGUAUGGAGACUGGGAGUGAAUCUGACCAUCAGUCCAGUUGACUUUGAGGUAACUUUCCAGAUUCUAGACAUGGACACUUCCUACAACCUUCUUUUGUGGAGACCAUGGAUCUACACAGUAGGGUUUGUGCCUUCCACUCUUCAUCAGAUGGUAAAGUUUGAGCAUGAGGAUCAAGAAAUUAUGGUUUAUGGGGAGGAUGAACAAUCAAUUUAUCGAGAUCCCUUAGUCCCAUGCCUUGAAACGAGAGAAGGCAUAGAGCGUAUAGUUUAUCAGGCCUUUAAAAUUGUAGUGGAAGACCAGUACGAAGAGGAAACCCCUACCUUGAGCCCGUCCUUUCCAAUGCAUCAAUUAUGGUAGCUAAAGAAAUGAUAUGACAUGACUUCAAACCAGGGAAGAGAUUUGGGAGGUCCUUGCAAGGAAUAGCUGAACCAGUUACUCUGCCUGCCACUGAGAAGUUCUUUGGGGUAGAUUUCCGACCUAGUCCAGAUGAUAUAAAAUGGGAAAAUGACAAAAACAUGAUGGAUGGGUCAUGCCUCACCACUGCCACAUCUGUACAAGAUAUUAAUCAGGCCUAAAUACAAUGAAGAAGAAGAGGACGAGGCUUUUACUGCUAAAGAGAUUGAAGAAAAUAUAUGGGGCAAUGAGAAAGAUAUUAUAUGAAACCCACAUGGUUCUGCCAGGAGAGGAAUCAAGCAUCGAUGAGGUAUUGUACAUGGGGCCUGAGGCCAAAUUGCAAAGUUGGAAGUCUACCUCAUUUCCCAUCAGGCGGGAAUCCUGGAAGACUAGUCUUGCCACUUUUUCUGCAUCGCGAGUUAUUCUAGGGUGUAACUCGGUUGUUUUCUUUAGUUUCUUGUCUUUUAAUUUCCAAAUGUAAACCCUGUUAUCUUCGAAUUCCAAGAAAUUAAAUCAAUAUUUCAUCGUUCAUUUUCCUUUUUUCUUUCUGAUCUUAGCUAUUUUUUCUCUUUUAUUUCUUCUUUCAGAUCUAAUAAUGCGUCUUUAAAUAACAGGACAUGCUUGCGGACUUCAUGCCCAGAUCCAAACAUGCUGUCUAAUUGUAAAAUAAUGAACCAAGAACCAGAAUACGAUGAAGAAGAGGCUUUUAGAGAAAUAAAUCGAGAACUGGAACAUUUCAAAAAUAAACUUAAGCCAAACCUAAAUGACACUGAGCCGGUCAACUUGGGUAGUUUUGAAGAAAUCAUGGAAACCAAAAUAAGCAUCCACGCAAAUGAGAAACUCGGGACGCAUUAAUCCAACUCAUGUUUUAGUUCAAAGAUGUGUUUGCAUGAUCAUAUGAUGACAUGCAGGGAUUUAGUAUUGAUUUGGUGGUGCAUAAAUUUACAACUUAUUCCGCCCCCAAUCCAGAAAAGCAGAGGAAAUUUAAAUUUGAUGUUAGUGAUAAAAUCAAAGAAGAGAUCACGAAAUAGCUGGAAGCAGGGGUGAUCCGAGUAGUCCGGUACACCAUAUGGUUGGCCAAUGUAGUUCCAGUGCCAAGAAAGAUGGGAAAACCUGAGUGUGUGUGGAUUAUAGAGAUCUGAAAAGAGCAAGCCCCACAGAUAACUUCCCCUCGCCAAACAUCCACAUCCUUGUUGAUAACUGCGCCAAGCAUGAGAUACAGUCCUUCGAGAACUGUUACACAGGAUAUCACCAGGUGUUCAUGGUUGAAGAAGACGCAGAGAAAUAGAUUUUACCACACCCUGGGAACCUAUUGCUGCAGGGUCAUGCCCUUUGUUCUAAGGAAUGCCAGGGUAACCUACAUGGAAGCCAUGAUCUUCCAUGAUAUGAUGCAUCAAGAGAUAGAGGUAUAUGUGGACGACGUGAUCAUUAAGUCCAAAACUCAGGAUGACAAUGUGUGGUAUUUGAGGAAGUUCUUUGAGCAGUUGCGCAUAUAUGAUUUGAAAUUAAACCCAGUCAAAUGUGCAUUCGGGGUCCCAUCGAGAAGAUUUUUGGGAUUCAUAGUCAGCCGGAGAGGUAUCGAGUUAGAUCCGACAAAGAUAAAAUCUAUCUGGGAACUACCUCCUCCAAAAACCAAGAAAGAUGUGAUGAGCUUGUUGGGAUGAUUGAACUAUAUUAGUCUAUUCGUUGCUCUGUUGACCUCCACGUGUGAACCCAUAUUCAAAUUACUAAAAAAAAUACAACAGUCAAAUGGACGGAUGAAUGUUAGGAAGCUUUCGAUAAGAUCAAAGAGUAUCUAUCCAACCCACCAGUCUUGGUCCCGCCUGAACCAGGAAGGCCUCUGUUCUUGUACCUGAGAGUUUUGGAGACAUCUUUUGGUUGUGUUCUCGGGAAACAUGAUGUUACCGGAAAGAAAGAGCAAGAAAUAUACUACUUGAUUAAGAAGUUUACCAGCUACGAAGCCAAGUAAACUCUACUGGACGAACUUGUUGUGCUUUAACGCGGGUCGCUCAGAAGCUGAGACAUUAUCUGCAAGCCUACACCACCUACCUCAUAACCAGGUUGGAUCGACUAAAAUACUUAUUCCAGAAACCAUGACCACGGGAAGAUUAGCAAAGUGGCAGAUCCUGCUCACUAAAUUUGACAUAGUUUAUGUCACUCGCACGGCAAUGAAAGCCCAGGCGCUAGCAGAUCAUUUGGCUGAACACCCAGUUGAUGAAUACCAACCUCUGAACACUUACUUCCUAGAUAAAGAGAUAAACUCGCUUGAGGCAAUAACUGAGGAUACGACUGCUUGGAAAAUGUUAUUUGAUGGAGCAGUAAAUGCAAAAUGUGUGGGAAUUGGAGCAAUCUUGAUCUCACCCACUGGUUAGCAUUACCCGGCCACAGCUCGACUUCGGUUUUUCUGCAUGAAUAACAUAGCCGAGUACGAAGCUUGUAUCAGGGGUAUGAACAUGGCAAUCGACCAAGAUGUCGAACAGUUGUUGAUUAUGGGAGACUCAGAUUUGAUUAUCCGGCAAGCCUAAAAGGAUGGGAAACCCGAGAUGAUAAAAUUAUUCCUUAUUGGCAACAUGUGGAAGACCUGAGCAAGUGGUUCAAAUCAAUAGAAUUCAUAUACAUCCCUCAUUGUCACAAUGAACUAGCUGAUACACUCUCCACUCUGGCCUCAAUGUUGCCCUAUCCAGGCAAUGCCCACAUUGGUCCCUUGGAAAUGCAAAUAAGGGAAAGGCACGGUUACUGUAAUACAAUCGAAGCAGAACCAAGUAUUAAGCCAUGGUACCAUGACAACAAAAGAUUUUUGAAAACACAAGAAUACCCCGAGCAAGCAACUGGAGAUCAAAAGAGAACCAUUAGACGACAUGCAAGUGGUUUCUUCCUGAGUGGUGAUAUCUUGUACAAAAGGACCCCGGAUCUCAAUUUGUUAAGAUACGUUGAUGAAGAAGAAGCUGGAAGGAUCAUGCACGAAGUACACGCAGGAGGGUCCUAACCCUAUAUGAACGGGUAUGUUUUGGCAAAGAAAAUCCUUUGAGUCGGAUAUUACUAGAUAAGCAUUGAAAAGGACUGUUUCAACUUUGUCCGAAGGUGCGAUCAGUGUCAGGUGCACGGUGAUUUGAUUCAUGCACCACCCACGGACUGCAUCGCAUGUUAGCACCUUGGCCAUUCGCAACUUGGGGCAUGGACAUAAUUGGUCUAAUCGAGCCAAAAGCUUCAAAUGGGAACAAGUUCAUACUAGUUUCCAUUGAUUACUUCACAAAGUGGAUUGAAGCAAUCACUCUCAAAUCUCUCACUAAGAAAGCAAUAAUAGAUUUCAUGCACUCCAAUCUUAUCUAUCGAUUUGGUAUUCCCGCAACCAUCAUCACAGAUAAUGCGUCAAACCUGAAUAGUUGUUUGAUGGAGGAGAUAUGUCAACAAUUCAAGAUAAUGCAUAGGAACUCCACUCCUUAUCGACCCAAGGCUAAUGAUGUCGUUGAAGCAGCAAAUAAAAACAUCAAGAAGAUUUUGAGAAAGAUGAUUCAGAUCUCCAGGCACUGGCAUGAAAAUUUGCCUUUCGCAUCACUGGGAUACCGCACCAUGGUGCGUAUGUCAGUAGGAGCGAUCAAAUACCUCUUAGUCUAUGGAACUGAGGCUGUGAUACCCGCAGAGGUGGAAAUCCCUUCUAUCCGGAUCAUUGUUGAAGCUGAGAUUGAUAAUGCUGAAUGGGUCAAGACUUGUUUUGAAUAAAUAUACUUAAUCGAUGAAAAAUGAAUGGUUAUGGUCCACCACGAGAAGUUGUACCAACAAAUAAUGGCCCGUGCUUAUAACAAGAAAGUACAGCCUAGAAGUUUUGAAGUGGGGCAACUUGUGCUAAGGCGCAUUCAUCCUCAUCACCAGGAAGCGAAAGGAAAAUUUGCUCCUAACUGGAAAGGCCUGUACAUCAUCAGAAAGAUAUUGUCGAGAGGAGCAUUGUUUCUAUGCGGUAUUGAGGGAAAUGGUCCCGAAACAUCUGCAAAUGCAAACGCAGUAAAAAAGUACUAUGUCUAGGCUUUAUACAGUAAUGAAUUUGUUCAAUUGAGAUGAUGAAGGCUUUCAUUCUUACUAUGCAAACAUUAUCAACCCUUUGCAAACCCUUUGAGUUACUCUUCUGGAUUACCCUCUUUGGAACCUGAAAGUGUUUUUGAAAAAUGAAAUAAACAAAAAGAAAAAAAAUAAAGAUAUGAAAAAAGAAAAAAAAGACAAGAAAAAAAGAAAAGAUGAAAUAAAGACAAAAAAACUAAAGAAAACUAAAAACAAAAUGUCCUGAACUACGUCUGACUUGAUUCCGAAAGGAUACGCAGGUAGCCUCUCCUUGGGGUUCAGUCACACAAAAACUAAAAUCCCAAGUCCCCCAAGAAAGUGAAACUGGGGCGGAUGAUAUAAUGGCUUGGCAAGGAGCCUGCCAAAAUGGUUCCAAAGUUGUAAUUCCAUACUGAUUCGGUUUACCCAAACCUUGUUCAAGUCCUUCUGAUCAAUUGACAAAGGCAACGGAAUCCAAAACACCAUUAUGGAAAUCUGGUACAGUCAAAUUGAGAGAAAUAAAAUGAGAAAAUCUUAUCGGUGAAAAUCUAUGGGCACCAUAACGUGACAGUGAGUAGAGAAACUUAAAAUGAGAGAGCCCGUUUAGUAAAAAUUUGUAAAGGGCACUAUCGGGCGACGGUGAGAAGAGAAAUGAGAGAGGUCGAUUGGUAAAAAUCCACAAAGGACACCGUCGGUUGAAAAGAAAGUAUUUCCCACCAUUGAUAGAGUCACGGCAAGAUUACCUGGUUUGGAACAUGGGUCAAUGAGUUAUGAGAAGGCGGAAAAGCUUGUGUGGGUUGGUCAUCUAGUCCAAGAAGCAUGUCAUGUCUAUUCGAAGCCUGCAUGCACCCCAGAUAAAUCCUUCUUUUCUUCCCGAAAGGGACACUUCUCAUUAAAUUCAUUCCCUUGCUUUUUGAUUACUUUUUCUUUGAAUCCCUUUUGGUCUAACUCUAUUUCCGAAACUAAGAAAAUGUGGAAAGACUAGCUUUACAAUGUUUUUCCUGACAAAAGAUGAAGAAAGGUACCCAACCUCAUUAGGUGCAUCGAGCCGAUCUCAGUUGGCCAUGAUGGCUGAUGUUUCGAAAUUGAAAAAUUCCUAAAAAGAAAGGAAGUCAAAGUCAAAUGCCCACAAAAGCAAAAUAAAGUGAAAAGGAAUGAGUCCCAUGUGGCUAACUGUUUUGGAAAGGAUCUGAAAAACCAAGGGAUCAUGAUGUUCUGAAAUCAAAGUUGCUGAAAAUGAAAAGAAAUCCAAGGACAAUGGUCCUAAAGGCAGAGUAAAGUGAAAAGGGCCAAAGCCCCACGCAAGCGAGUUUUCAUGAGAAAUUCUGAAAAGCUGAGUUCCUUGAUUUUAAAGGAGAGAUCACUUUUCAAGAAAAGCCAGCAAGCAGCGGAGGUUCUCACCAGAAGUUAGGCCAUGACCCAGUGAUCAAACAACCAAAGCCGCAAAACCAACAACCAUUUCAAACUAAAACAUAGGGAUCAUGAUGUUCUGAAAUCAAAGUUGCUGAAAAUGAAAAGAAAUCCAAGGACAAUGGUCCUAAAGGCAGAGUAAAGUGAAAAGGGCCAAAGCCCCACGCAUGCAAGCUUUCAUAAAAAAUUCUGAAAAGUUGAGUUCCUCAGUUUUAGGGAGAGAUUACUCUUCAAGAAAAUCUAGCAAGCAUCGGAAGUUCUAACCAAAAGUUGGGCCAAGACCAGUGAUAACACAACCAAAGCUGCAAAACCAACCACCGUUUCGAACUAACAAUUGUUUUGUUUGAUGAACCCGAGGAUCAUUUUUCCUUUUUCUCCCAAGCAUAACCUGAGGAUUAGUUUUCUUUUUCUCCCCGACAUAACCGAAGGAUCAUUCUCAUUUUCUUUCCAGCAUAACUUGAGGUUCCUUUUCUUUUUGUCCUUGACAUAACCCGAGGAUCAUUCUCCUUUUUUGCCCAACAUAACCUGAGGAUCGUUUUCUCUUGUCCCCAACAUAACUCGAGGACCAGUCUCCUUUUCUCACCAGUAUAACCUGAGGAUCUUGUCUUUCCCCGGCAUAACCCGAGGAUCAUUUUCCAUUUUCUCCCCAGCAUAACCUGAGGAUCCUUUUUCUUUUUGUACCGGGCAUAACCCGAGGAUCAUUCUCUUUUUAUCCUCAGCAUAAUCUGAGGAUCUUUUCUUUCCUCGGCAUAACCCUAAGAUCAGUUUUCCUUUUAUCUCCAGCAGACCCGUGGAUCAUCCCUGGAAUAACCCAAGGACCUUUUUUCUUUUAUCCCGACAUAACCCGUGGAUCAUCCCUGGCAUAACCUAAGGACCUUUUUCUAUUAUCGCAGCAUAACCCGUGGAUCCCCAUGGCAUAACCCAAGGACCUUGUUCAUUUUAUCCCGGCAUAACCCGUUGGUCUCCCUGGCAUAACCCAAGGACGUUUCUCUCUUAUGCUGGCAUAACCUGUAGAUCUCCCUGGCAUAACCCAAGGACCUUUUUAUUCUAUCCUGGUAUAACCCGUGGAUCUCCCUGGCAUGACUCAAGGACCCUUCUUCUUUUAUCUCGGGAUAACCCGUGGAUCUCCCUGGCAUAGCCCAAGAACCGUUUUUCUUUCAUUCCGGCAUAACCCCUCGAUCUCCCUGGCAUAACCCAAGGGACCUUUUUUCUUUUAUCCCGGCAUAACCCAUGGAUCUCCCUGGCAUAAGCCAAGGAGCCUUAUUCCUUUUUAUCCCGGCAUAACCCGUGGAUCUCCCUGGCAUAACCCAAGGACCUUUUUCUUUUAUCCCGGUAUAACCCAUGGAUAUCCCUGGAAUAACCCAAGGAGCUUUUUUAGUCCCGGUAUAACCCCUGGAUCUCCCUGGAAUAACCCAAGGACCUUUUAUAUUAUCGUAGUAUAACACGUGGAUCUCCCUGGCAUAACCCAAGGAUCUAUUUUCUUUAUCCCGACAUAAUACGUGGAUCUUCCUGGUAUAACCCGAGGCCUUUUUGCUUUUCCAGCAUAACCGGGUCAUUUUCCAGCAUAACCUGGUAAUCCUCCCAAUUUAGGGCUUCAUUCCUAAGGAUUCACAAUCCUUAAUUUUAUUGUUUUCAAUGAAAACUAGUGUAGAUUUUGUGUUGCAAAUAACUCACAAAACUUUCCUAGUGAAAACUGAGGCAGAAAAGUUUUGUUCAUUUGUUUGUUUUAGUGUCCGAACAGGUUUUUCCUCAAGGCAUUGGAUCUGGGAUGGCUGAAAGAGUGAGUCUCAAUCCAGAAUAAAGAAAAGAAGAAAAGAACAAAAAAGAAGCAAACUCAAAGUGUUUGAAGUAGAGAAGGAUGCAGACUACUCAAAUUUGAUCAAAGUUAGAAGCUUCGCAUGUCCAGCUCUGAUCCAACGCUGAAGAAAGAACCAGCACCUACAACUUGCGAACAUCAAGAUUCAGAUCGGGGUUCGCAUCAAAAUCAGCUAAGACUCAAGAUCAAGCUUCAAGAAAUUUAUAGAUAGGAAUCUUGUAACUCGUAGUUGAUAGGCAUAGCUAGCUUAGCUUUUGAUUUUGCUUUUUGGUGUAAUAAGGAGGUCAGAAAGUAGUAGCAGCAGCAUCAGCAGUGACGCCAUAGCUCCUGGUAGUCCCAGCUACAAAAACUUCCACAACUACACUGACUGAUUCCUUUACAGCCAAGGAUAUGUAGGCAACCUCAAAAGCAAGGUUCGGUCAGAUAUUUUUCAAAAAUGCUUCUCAUGGAGUGUCAAGCGGGAAAUAAAUCCCUCAUAAUUGCUCAUUUAUCUUUGCCCAAAAACCCAUCGUGUCUCCAAGCAAAGAGGGGCAGCUGUAAGCAUGUGAUUUUUGCCUCGCGUGAAUUACUCCUACAAAAUUAUUAGAUUUAGGAUUUUCCUUUAAUUAUUUGAUUUUUAGGAUUAAUUGCAUAAUUUUCGUAUUUGUUAGUAUUUUUUGUGUGCAUUUUUAAUUUAGAUAAAUUCAUAAAAAGUACAAAAAUAUUGCAUUUGCAUUUAGGAUUUGAUUAAUUGUAAUUAGGAUUUUACAAAAAUAUAAAAAAAAUCAAAAAAAUUUUAUUUAUUUUUUGUUUUACUUAAUUUGAAUAGUGUUAGUUUCUUUUGAAUGAUUAAUUGUAUUAAUUAUUAAAAGAAUUAGGUUAGUUAGUUUAAUUUUAGGAUUUAGUUAUGUUUUAUUUUCAAUUUUAAUUUUGAAAAGGAAAAGAAAAGGAAAUUAAAAAAGGGAAAUUGAGUCCCUUAAAUUAAAAUGCCCAAUAUGGGCUAACCAAAUUAGAUCUCCUAACUCGUCCAAAACCCCCCGAACAGGCCCAAACUUGUUCCCUAACCCGGUCCAGUCCCCCUAAUAAUUUAAACAACAUCGUUUUGAAGGCAAUGGAUAUGGACCGUCGAGAUUUGUUGAUCUAACGGUCCAAAAGCUAGGAUCUUUAGGUAUAUAUAUGUUCAAACUUCGCCUCCCCCCCUCUCUCAUCUCCUCUCUCAAAACAGCCAAACCCUAGAGACAAGCCCGUCUCCGCCGUCUGCCAUCUGCCGGAAAUCAUCUCCGCCGGAGGCCCGUGGCCAAUCACCACCAAAUUCACACCCCAGAUUCCUCUCCUUCUCCUCUUUCCAGAUCUCUAAGCCCUGUCCUUCAAAUCCCACCUUAGCUUCUCGAAUAUUGCUUAGAAGUUCUGAACCCUCCACCGUGGCCGGCGACACCACCACCAACCACUACCAAAAUAACACCAUGAAACCUCCUUACUCACCUCUUCCCAAAUCCGCAAUCCUUACCUUCAAACAUGCCCAGAGCUCCUCGAAUUUUGAAUAUGAGGUUAAAUCCCUAAGAGUUCAAAUUGGAACAUGAACAUGCAAGGUCUUUUUCCAGUAUUCACCAGUGUUAAUGGAUUAAUUUUCUUAGUUUUGUUUGUUUAUUUCACUUGUAUUUGUUUACUUCACUCGUAUUUGAAUUAGUUGAACCCAGUUCUGCUUUUCCCUUUUUAAGUUAAUAUUUUUCCUUCAUGUUUAGUUUCUUCAUCCGCAAUUGCUAAUAGUUUGUGUCGUGAGUUUUGCUUGCCCAUUUUUCUUAGAUUUUAGGUUUCAAAUUCCUGAUUUUCCUUGUUCAUGCUAAUUGGUACAAGGUAGCAUGUUCUAUUUGAUCAAUUUUUUUUUUGUUUGAUUGAUGAUCUAUAAUACUAGAUUUCAGUUCUGGGUUUAAGUAACUAAAACUAAUUCGAGCCUAUAAUUAAAUGGUCUGGAUUUGCCUUCGAAGUUUUGGGUGGGGAUUUAUUAUGGUCUUUAGUGCCAUUUGGUCAUUUGUGAGUGUUCAAACCCUCGCAAAUAACCAUGGUCAUCACCGAUCAAGUUUAAAGGGCCUGUGAAGUUGGACUUUGAUUUAGUUUUACCUAAGUUAACUGUUUCAGGGGUAAAUACAGGGGUAGUCAGGGUUAGUUUAGGAACUCUAGGUUAGGGAAUCUCUUCAUAACAGAUUUAGAAGCUUCUAGUGUGGGGGUUAAUUUCAUUUUCAGCCUUUGGGUAGGUUGACUUGGGUAUCAAGUAAUAAUUUUAGGGUUCCUAAGCUAAAACAAAAAUUAAAAAGAGGACUCAAAGGGCAAGAAAUAAAAUCUGAAGUUUCCCUACUUGCUUGUAUAUAAUGGCAUAGCUAAGAGCUUAGAAAAUAGAGAGCUAAAAAUUAGAAAAGCUAAAAAAAUAUAUCAUAUUUUAAGAGAUUUUACAGAUUUCACUAUUCUAUUGAAAAUCCGUGAAAUCCUUUAAGUCUCCAUUCUGAAAUAAAUCCUAGAUAGCUGAAAGGGGUGAAAUGAUUUGAAUCUGCUUGGGUAUUCAGUUGUUGUGGGUCAUUUUUUUUUGUUGAAUCUCCAAUCACUAGGUUUUGUUGAUAUUGUUGUUGAUUCAAACCUCUUUUAAGUGAUCAUUUAUUGACCAUUUUUGUUGCUGAAAUAAUGUCCCUAUUAUGUUGCUGAUGAACUUGUUGCCUCUUACUCCUUCAUUAUUUCCUUCUUCUUCCAGGUAUAUCUUCAAACUGUAGUGGAAUAAAGUUUUUGAACAAGACAUUAUGAAAAACCUAGAUUUAAAUUGAAAUUUAAGUUGACAUACUGGUUUUUGGUGUAUUUAUGACCAUUUUGAUCAUUAUGUGUGCUUGAAUUAUUUAUUUUUAUGUAAAUUCAAGUUUGGACUGUACUGGACUAUUGGACUGUGAAUUCAUUAUUUAGGACUAUAAAUUUAUUAUUUAAUGGUUAAUGUUAUAGCAAUGCUUGGUACCUUUUUGUAUAAAUGAACUACAGUUUGGUUGAAUGAUCUGUAAGAUGAGAAAUCAUUGUGUGGAUGGACUUGGGUCCAUGAAUUAUCCAUUUCUUGUGCUUGAAACAAAACAGCAUGUCCACUUAGUCAGUAAUAGAGUUCUAUAAAUCAAAGUAUCAAUUUGCUUCAAUAAAUGUUUAUAAAUCAAUAUAAGCGUAUAGGGUAACCUCAGUGCAAAAUAUUGUGACCAGUUAUGUUGAUGUAGAGUUGAUAUUGUUGGAUUCCAAUCCCAUUGUUAGUCAUCUAAAAUGAAUUCAUGAUUACUUCCAUUAUUUGAUCAGCUAAUGCUAAGAUGAAAACGAUUUCCCUGGUUCAUGUGGAGGGAUUCGAUGCUGGGGUCCUUGAUAUCGAGACUCAACAUUUGGCCUAUUUUAAGGCCUAGCUCCGAAGAUUCUUUUGGGUCAAAAUGGAUCAUCUCCUUUGCUAGGCCACCAAUCUUUUAUGGUGGUUCAAGUUUUAUAUGCAAUGCAUUAAUUUCCUUUUAAUUGUGUUCAGCCAUUAGUUAACCGGAUCUAGCCAAUUGAGGUGGGCCAUAAUAGAUAAUAAUAGCUCAUUAGUCCUUCGAAUUUUAGUUCGAAUGUCCUUCAAAAAAUGGAAUCGAGAUGCGCCGCGCCAAAAUAAAAUCAUAAAUUGUUUGGCCCUAUUUUGUUAUAUCUUUAAAAAUCUUUAGAACUAGCAACGCACCAUUUAGAGAAUUUUCAUGGCCUCCCGCAAAGUUAUCAACGCGAUAGUUACUUUUAAGUCCGUUAUAUAAUAAUUUUACUUUCUUAAACUCGGGUGUGCAUUUCAUGUGACCCAAAUCAAAAUCCUAAAAUGUCGAAUAAAAUAUGUUUCGGAUUGCGGGUGCAUUUCAUGUGACGCAAUCCAAAGACACAUUUUAGACGAUGUUCAAUUUUUCCUAAUAAUAAUUGAAAGCUGUAAAUAAUUUAAAAUUGCACUAUAAGUUUGAACAUGUAUUGAAAAUCAGAUAAUAGGCCAAUUAUGAUAGUUCAAGUGAUAAUGUUGGAACCAUGGAAUCCGGGGGUGCCUAACACCUUCCCUCGGGUUAACGAAAUUCCUUAUUCAGAAUUUCUAGUUCGCAAACUUCCAAAGGAAAGUCAAUUAUUUCUCGAUUUUGGAUUUUAAAAUAAACGCUGACUUGGGACACCAAAAAAAACUAUCCCAAGUAGCGACUCUGAACGAAAGCAAAUAAAUAAUCCUAUUUCGAAUGAUGUCAUUUAAAGUGGAAAAACUCUCUUAUGCUCUACCUUUCGGGGUGUCGUAUAAAAAAUAAGGUGUGACAACCACUAUUGUUGAUGAUUUGCCUCCAGGACAUUCUUCUUCUGCUGGUUCGAGGGUUCCUUCUUCCCAGGCUCAUCCUUUCACGGCCCAUCAGUUGAGCCAAAUACUGGCCAGUGUGAACAACUAGAUGUCAGCUGUGACAUCCAAGUUGUCUACUUUGUCUACUACCAUUGAGGCCCAGUCAGCUCCUCCAACAGCUCAGAUUCCUCAGUCCAUUGAGGAUAUACUGAAGAAGCUCCUGGACAACCAGGAGAAGAUUAUGAGGAUUCAAGACGCCUUGUCUAAGGCGGUGGAUUCACAUGGCAAGGCUCUAAAGGAUCUUUCCAAGGAGCAUAAGAAGAUGAGGAGAUCACGGGCUUCUAAGGAGUCUUUGAAGGUGCUCAGGAUAGAUGUGGACAAGCUAUUGGCUGACCUGAUGUCUUUAGACUUGUUAUUAAGGGACCCAGCCCCAACAGUAGUACAUGUAACAGAGCCACAGUUGGAGCAGGCACCUGGGCUUCCAAGGAAGAAGAGGAAGAUCCCUAGUACAGUUGAUGCAGUUAUUGAGAUAGCAGAACCACAGGAGGUCCCCUCCAGUGAUGCACAUGUCAUCCAGCUGGUCCAGGAGCAGGCCCCAGUCCCAGCAGCUGAGCAGUAGGAGUUCGAGAAUUAGUCUGAGGUUCCCGCACAUACAGAGGACUAGGGUACUACUGAUGAUCCCAUGCAGAUGGACCAGGCCUAGGGAGCUCCUAUAUCCUUUACUUUGUUUUUGAUGCUUAUUUGUAGUUGGCAUUGGGGACAAUGCCAGCUUUUAUUCGUGGAGGUGUGCCCUACUUUUUAUUAUCCAUGGAUGACUGUAUAUAUAGAUUGUUAGUUAUGAUUUACUUUGAUUUUAUAUUUUGGGCUGUACAUAACUUUACAUUUAGCUACUUUUCUCGUACUUUUUAUUCUCUCUUUUGGUCUGUAUAUAAAGUUACAUUUCUAUAUAUAUUUAUCCCCCGUUGUAUAUUCUACUCCCCUAUUGUAUAUAUUCAUUUUGUUUUCUAUUUUUGCAAAAAUUUUUGUUUUCAGCUUUGUAGUUAGGCUCGUAGCCUUUUGUUUGGUUUUUGGCGUUUUCAAUAAACCUUUGAUUUUCUUAAUGCCACGGUUCUUUCCAAAGGUGGAGUAUUCUGUGAACCGGGUGGCUUUUCCCAAUGAUAGAUGACGUGACAACCUUCUUAAGGGUUUGAGUCCGUUUUUAUUCUUUUUGCUUUUGAAUAAAUUGUAGUUAAGGGUGCCUCAAGCAAAGCUUCACUUGGGCUUAGCACAUUUGCCUUUGAUUCCAUGGUCAAAGACAACAUGUUGUGUUUAAGAUGGUGAAAGUCAUGGCCUUGAGACUCUUGUGUUGACCAAACAAUCAUCAUGUGGUCUUUUCAGACCAUUGUGUGAUUGAAUCUUAACUAAGGUCAUUGUGGGCUCUCGACUCGAUUUCUUUAGCAAUCCCCUAGUGUGUGUGGUGAGAAAUUGAAUUGUGAGUCCAAGUCCUAAGCCAAUGGUUUAGAACUUGCCCUGAAUGUUUGUUGAGGCAAAUUCUUAGGUGAAAUUUGACUUGAGAAGUGAUUAUAGGCUCUCCUUGAUCCAAAUGAUAAGUUGAACAAUUCUAUAGCCUACUAAUGAGAUAAUCCGUAGUUAACCCUUUUGAGCCUUAAACCGUUUUCUUUCAAGAACUAAUGCUACAAGCCUGUACCCAUUCUAAAUGAUACCCUCUCUUGGCACCCAAAUCUUCCCUUGAGUAAUGGAAAUGGUCUAAGUUUGAGGGGGGGGGGGGGAGACAAGAAAGGAAACAAAGUGGUAAAAGAUACAAAAUCAAAAUAAAAGGAAGGCAAUGAAAAAGAAAGAAAAGACAAAGACAAAAAGAAAGUCCAAUGUGAACAAGUAUAAAAAAACUGGACUAAAGGAAAACAAAAGUGAAAAAGGUGUGGGCAAAGUAGAAAAAGGAGAAAUGUUUUGGAUUGCAUAAGAAAGAAUGACAAUGUGUCUCUCUAACCCCUUGAAAAGAAGUGAAAUACUCAAAAGAUUUAAGAGAGUUGUGCCAAAAUGAAUCAAAAGAGGUGUUUAAGGGAAGAUUGAACCCACUUGAAUAAAAACAUAUCCUACCUUUACCCAAAAGCCUUCACAAUGACUCCAUAAAAUCCAUAUAUGAUCUUGAGUUGAAGGGAGCCUACAUUAGUGGAUACUUACAUAAGGGGAAAGCAUAUAGUACCUAGAGCCGGAUUUGUGACCUUCUUCUUGAGAGAGAUGAGUGAAAUUCCAUUAACCUCGAUUUUUGUGUCAAUACUUUAAAAGGGGAGGUUCUCUUAGGGGGAGUUAAGGAUGUGUGAGUUUGGAUUCCACAAUGAACAAAGUAGUUGAGAGAAGUUCUUUGAUGAAAUGUGUCAAAUACAUAGUUUUUCAAAGUUUCAAUCUGAUAAUGAUGCAUUCGUAUUGAGGGCAAUUGUUAGUCCCAAUUGAUGCUUGUUGAAGUUAUUUUAGGAUAGCUGAAAUUACUUGGAUUUUCCUUUAAGGGUGGGUCUUAUUUUGUGCGCUUGAGGAAAAGCAAAGGUUUAAGUUUGGCGAGUUGAUAAGUUAGGAUUUUAACGUGUUUUAUGCCCAUACUUGCCUAUGCUUUGAGUAUAAAUUGCUAUAAAAUAGUCCCAAAAUGCUCACAGGUUGUGCUUGAUUGCAGGUUUGAGCGACAAAGUGAAAAAAAUAUCAAAGAUUGACUCAAAAAGGGGUGAAAACUGUCACACCUCCUUUUUUACACUACAUCCCGCGCAGGGUGUAAUAAGGGUGUUUUUCCAAUUAAAGGACAAUCGAAACAUGAUUUAUUUACAUUAAGAUUUCAGAGUCGCCAUUUAGGAGAUUUGUGGUGUCCCAAGUCGGCUUAAAAUCCCGAAUCAAGGAGAAGAAUGACUCUGUUUAACAGGCUGUGAACUAGAAAUCCGGGUAAGGAAUUCUGUUAACCCAGGAGAAAGUGUUAAGUAUUCCCAGGUUCUGUGGUUCUAGCACGGUCGCUCAACUAUUAUAUUCAUCUUUAUUAUCUGAUAUAAUACAGGGUUUAUCCAAUGGUGUGAUUUUAAAAACAGCUUUUAAUGAAUUUUAAAGAAGAUUGAAUAUCGUUUAAAACAUGUCUUUGGAUUGCGCCACAUGAGAUGCACCCGCAAUCCGAAACACAUUUUAUUCAAUGUUUUAGGAUUUGGAUUUGGGUCACAUUAAAUGCACACCUGAGUUUAGAAGGGUAAUAUUAUUAAAAUUCGUGCCUAAAGAAACUACGCGUUUUUAGCCUUGCGAGGGCCAUGGAAAUUUGCUAAAUGGACAUGCCUCGGUUCCUAAGAAUUUUAAAAAGAAAGGAUUAAAUGAGGGCCACGCAUUUGAGAUUUUAUUUAGUACGGCGUACCUCAAUUCCAUUUAAAAGGAUAUUCAAAUUAAAGCUCGGAGGGCCAUAGACUAUGUCUUAUCUAGUAUACAUCGCCUCCUAAUUAUUUAAAGGAAUUCGAUUAUUUACUACUAAAUGUAACCAAAGGUUUUAUUCAGGUUAACGAGAAACUUACACGAUAGAGAAUUAAUUUAGAAGGGGGUGUUCAGCUUAGCAUAAGCUAGUAACCUAAAAGGAGAUGGCCCAAGUCUCAUUAGGAAGGGCCUGUCCUAUUUUGGGCCCAAAAGUGAGCCCAAGACACGGUGCAAAGGCCGCUGGCUUAAUGAUUUCUAAAGUGGCCUGAGCCAGGCGCAAAGAAGGCCCAACUCAACAACUGUUAUGCAUUGACAAGGUAGGGAUUCAAGGUCGAAUCCAUGCGGCAACACAAACAGCAUCCAAGCACAAGAUUGAACGAGCCAAAUUGAUUUAAAACACGAGAAUCGGUCCAGACUUAAUUCAAACGGCCAUGAAUGCCCAAUUAAUAAUUAGCCCAAAACUGACCGUAUGCCAAUAAUUAAAAUCCACGGGACAUACACAUAAUCGUCUACUUAGUUCCAAAGUCAAUUUUUAAAAAAACUGAUGAUCAACUAAGCAACAAGAAGAAACUCAGAGCUAAACACAAUAGAAACUGUGAACUAAUCUAGUAAACACUAAGAAGCUAAAUUUACCUUUCACUAUAUGCAUUUACCAGUCCGUCAUAGACGUAUAAGUAUGAGCUUACUAACAAUCCUAGAUGGAAAUCAUAGCUAACUCUUAUCAUGACUCGAAUCACAAAUCAGACAGGAAACAAACAACUGAUGCCUUGAAUAGCUCCAAGAUCAACAAAUUCACAUGGAUUCAGCUAACCCAUAUUUUACAUGGAAUAUUCUUGGAUUAAAUACCCAUCAGUUUCCGCAGAGUUCAAACACAAACAAGCAUUUCAAGGCUCAAAUGAACUAAGAAAUGAAAUGACUACGAUACAAUAUUAAAUAAACGAAAUGCAGCACUAGUUGAAGCCAUGUUCUGAAUCUUGAUCUUUCAUUUCAUAUAUCAAAUAUGACUUCACAUGUUCAAGAGAGCUCAAGAUAUAGUACCUGGAGAUUAAAAGGAACAAGAAGAGUGAAGAAAUAGUAGCAACAACAGAAUAGUAGGUUCAGCAAAUCAACGUGGACUAGAAAUUUGAGAUGAAACAUUACAACAGCUUUAAACCAAGCUUUUGAAUUCCAAAUUCAAAACAAUCCCAUAUCAACCGAAUCAAAUUUAUCUCAAAACUGAUCAAAAAUCAAAAGUUUACUGAAGAAAUGCAAUGAACAGUCUAGAACUCAGCCGUUCUUAUGUUUUCCAAAUUUUAUCCCUAAAUUCCUUUAUCUGUAUUUUUAGUUCCUAAACCCCCCCCCCCCUUGAGCCUCAAGUAACGUUGCCUUUAUAGGCAAGUUACUAGGGCAGCAAAUAUCAAUCAGGUUUUGCACUUUUGACCCCUUUUAAUUUUAACUUUUUCUAGUUAGUCCCUCAUUUUAUAACUUGGUGCCAAAUCUAAAGCCUCUACAAUUCUAAAAUUCAAUAAAAACCCCUCACUAGAAGCUUCUUUAUUGUUGUUACACUAAAAUUCCUUCAACCAAAUACCUGAACUAACCCCAAAAUGUCCCUUAAUUACUACCCUAAGGACCCAUCGGGGUUGACUGACCAAGCUAAAAGGUCCAUAGACCCGAAUCAAAUUCCUCUUGGUCCUUUUAAUUUUCAGAAACUUCUUUUAUCAUUGAAAGCCCAAGUUCACACGCCAGCCCACAGAGUCUCAAAGACUCGUGAAGUUUAGUCCUCCACGAAAUGGAAGAAAAUAUUUUCAAAAUCAACCUCCGACGCCAUUACUAACUUCACAAGCCCGGAAUCAGGCAUACAAAUACAGAAAAUGAAAUAAAAAAUGGAAAAAAUGGAGGAAUAAAAAAGACAGACAAGGAUGAAAUAUAAGAAGAAAUGAAUAUCAAUGACCCAAGUGAAGGAAAAUAUCGUUCCUGAAGUCGAAGAAUCAAAUUUGAAAGCAGUCUGCCCAAUCGCAUGUAAUUGACCGGACCUUGACAAAUCAGAGAUGAAUCGAAACUCAUAUUAAUCAACGAAUCUUGACAAAACCAUUAACUAAUAUUAAUUUCGACCCAUAGCUUGCCAAAAUUAACGGAAAUAACUAAAGAGACAAAAACUCGGCGAAUCUCGUGUUUUAGAUUGGAAAUUUAAGGAAUUCCACUGGGUAUUCUGGGAAACGGGGGUAGGGAUAUGAUUCACCAGGGUCUGGUGGUUACCUGGUAGAAUUUGGGGCGAUUUCUAGCGGCGGCUGGCGGUGGCGGAAGAUAGAGAGGUGAGAGACGAGAAUGGUGAACUUGGUCGUUUGGACAUUUUUAUGUUGAAAUGUUAAGGCUUCGUGACUGUUAGAUUAAAGCAAACAAAUUGCUAGGAUUGAGUAAAGCUUCAUAAACUAGAACGACGUCGUUUCAAGGAUCCUGGGGGCUGAUGGCUUUGGGUCUAGUAUUGACGGGUCAGGGGAGACGAAUUAGGCCAGGUCCGGGGUGAUUUAGGCAGAAAUAGUUGGUCUUGGGUGGAAGUAAUCUGCAAUGGCUCAAAUUUAGAUUUCUUUUAUUUUCCUUUUCAAAAUUUUUCCUUUUUUUGUUCAUUUUAAGAAUUUGUUAAAGAGAAAUUAAAAAAUUAAAGGCUAAACCUGAUUUAAAUUCAAAACUACCCUAUUGCUUUUCUUAAAAAUUAAUUACGUCCUAAUUUAGCAGAAAACUAUGACAAAUUCAAAAAAAUAAAAAUAAAAAAUGCAAAAUGAGCUUUUUUGUGAUUUUCUUUUUAUGAAAAUAACCUAAUUAUUAAUUAUUCUUAAAAUGCACAACUAACUUUUAAAUGCUCACGCAAGAUAUUUUUUGUAUUUAUUACCAAUUAAAAUGCAUAGAAAAAUGCAUACAAUUAACGGAAAAUGCCACAAAAUUACAAAUAAUGAAAAAAUUAUUUUGUUUUGAAUUUAUGGGAGUAAUUCAUAUGGGCACAAAUCACGUGCCCACAGCUGCCCCCUCUUUGCUUGGAAACACGAAGAGUUUUCGUGCAAAGAUAAAGUGAGCAGAUACGAGCGAUUUUUGCUCGUUUGAAUACUCCGUGGGAAGCAUUUUUGAAAGAUUUGAUCGCACCCUGCUUCUGAGGCUACCUACAUAUCCUUGGCUGAAAAGGAAUUAGAUCUGUGUAGUUUCGGAAUAUUUGGUAGCUGGGAUUACCAUGAAGCUGUGAUUUCACUGUUGUUGCUGCUGCUUACUGAACCCCCUUAUUACACCAUGACAAAAUAAAAAUAAGCUAUACUAAACUAUGGUCUAUGAAUUACAAAAAUCCUAUCUAUAUCUUCAAACUUGCUCUUGCGGUUCUUGUUGCCUUGUUACCUUGUUGACUUGUACUCUCCGGGUGAAAUUCCUCUGUUGUUGACUUGAAUUGUAAUCUGAGAUGUUUUCCUUUCUUUAGGUUGAUGCACGACUGCCAAAACUUGAAUGUAUUCAAAUGUACUCCCUUAUUCUCCAGGCAGGCUCCUGACUACUGACUUGAAAUGUAUUCCCUUGUUCUCCAGGCGGGCUCCUGACUGCUGACUUGAAAUGUAUUCCUUUGUUCUCCAGGUGGGCUCCUGCUUUCAAUAAAAAUAGACAGACCAAAGAAAGUUUCCUACCUCAGUUUGUUGGUUGAGCCCAUAUGUGAGUGUAAACUAAAUCAUAGUACCAAAUAUCAGUAGGAAUCUAAAAGCUAGAACUUGAAUUGUACUCCCUUGUUCUCCAAGCGGGCUCCUAACUGCUAAACUUGAAAUGUAUUCCCUUGUUCUCCAGACGGGCUCCUGACUGCUCCCUUGCAAUAUAUUACCUUGUUCUCCAGGAGGGCUCCUAAUUGCCAAAAACUUGAAUUGUAUUCCUUUGUUCUCCAGGUGGGCACCUGAUUACCAAAACCUGAAUUGUAUUCCCUUGUUCUCCAGGUGGCUGCCUGAUUACCGAACUUGAAUUAUGUUCCCUUGUUCUCCAAGUGGGUGCCUGAUUACCAAACUUGAAUUGUAUUCCCUUGUAGCUAGGUACAUAUGUGAGUGUUAAACGACAAUUUUAAAUUUAAUUUAUAUCUUUUGGAGGUACAACUUUCACCACAUCCUGUUAUCUAAUAAAAUAUAAGGCUACAUCCUAUCAUCCAGGAGGGACCUUACAACUCUUGACUAACGACAAUUUUAACACUAAGCUAUAUCUUCUAAAGGUACAACUUUCACUACAUUUUGUUAUCUAAGAAAAUAUUAAGGCUGCGUCUCAUUUUCCGGGAGGGAUCUGACAACUCUUAACUAACGACAAUUUUAAUACUAAAAUAUAUCUUCUAAAGGUACAACUUUCGCUACAUCUUGUUAUCUAAGAAGACCUUAAAGCUACGCCCCAUUAUCCAGGAGGGUCCUGACAACCAAAGUCAAAUUUCAUCCUAAGAGUGGCAAUUCCUUACGGCUAAAUUAUAUCACCUUACAACAAAACUUACGCUAGAUAUUGUUAACUAAUGAAAAUAGCAAAGCUAAGUCCCAUUAUUCAUGAGGGUCCUGAAAACUCCCUACUGAAUCCUAUCUUAAAACAUACGAACUUUGAGACCAACUUUCAUUCCUUUGGGGUUCAUUUAAGCUAUAUUUUGCUACUUAUUUUUAAAAUUAGGUCCCAUUUUCCAGGAGGGUUCUGACAACUCAUCAUUGAAUUUUAUCUCCAGAACCGAUUUACACUCUUUUAGGGUACAUUUGUGCUAGAUCUCGCUACUCAUGAUUUUUUGAAUUUUAAACUAAUUCCCAUUGUCCAGGAGGGUCCUGAAAACUCCUAAUCGGAUUCUAUCUCAAACAUGCAGACUUUUAAAACAACUUACGUUUCUUUUUGCUAUUCAUGAUUAUUUUUUUAACUUUUACUGGGUCCCAUUUUUCAGGGGGGUCCUGAAGUUUAAUGGUCAUACCUGCUUGGUGCUUGCUUUUCUUAUGGAGUAUUUCCCCGAUACGUCUGGAAUUUCUGCCCUUAUUUCAAUCAAAGAAAAUCUCGUCAGUUUAAAAUGCGGUGGUUAGCUUGCGGCAUUCUUUUAGAAAGUGGCCUCCCCGCUGCCAUGCUCCAUUGUGGCCAGCUUUCCCAAACUUACUAUGAAACGCCUGAUUUGUCGGCUGACCUUUGAAUCCUAUGGCCUUAGAUAAACCGAGUGUUCUGAACCCCGACCGCUAUGUUACAUUCCUAACCAUUUCAGAAUCUUUGCAUCUUUCCUGAAAUUACUGAAUCAUUUCAUUGGCGAAGUUUUAAGUGAUUCUUUAUAUCCUAUUUUUACCUCAUGUUGCCUUUGGUAUGUUCUAACCGCAAUGUUCUUUGCCAUUUGGGAGCUGGUAGUAAGCUUUCAAAUUUCUCUCUUGCUUGCUUAAACAAAAUUGACCUUGAAAACAUCUUAGAGAAAUAGAAACCCGAAAGGAAAUGAAUCUGAUUUGUUUUUAGUAUAAAAGAAUCAGAAUUGGAUGUCUACUGAAGGGGAAAAGAGAAGAGACUCAUAUGUGGGGAGCAACUGGUACCAAUGAUCAUGACAUGCACUUCGGCUUAGUCUGCCCAGUCUAUCCAAAUGAUCAAAUUUUAGUUGCCAUGCUUUGUUGUUGUGACAUUCAUUAACCCAAUUUCUUUGACGAAACCUUGACCCUGCUCAUCCUGCGGUGUCCUGAAUGGUUUUCUUCCAAAAACCUCUCCCAUUUGUUCAAUUCUCAACUUACUUUCGCCUUAAGGUGCCCAUGAGGGUUUUCACCAAUAAGAGUCUCUCAUUUUUUAUUUCUCUCAUAUCAUUUUGCCUUACGGUGCAUGUGAGAGCUUUCACCAAUAAGACUCUCUCAUUUUUAUUUUCUUUAAACUCUUGUCGCCUUACGGUGUCCGUGAGGAUUUUCACCAAUAAGACUAUGUCAUUUUUAUUUUACUUGCUUGGACCAAAGUGUUGUCCUUGAUGUGAAUCACCUCUACUUGCUUGACUUGGCAUAUCUUGAAGACUGACCGGAAGGUCUUUCUUUGGACCGUAACGUGCGCUUUUGGACAGGGUUAGAAAGAAGGGCAUCAAAGGCUCAAAACAAUUCAAAUGGGUUCCAAAAUUAAAACUUUCGGAAUCAGAUUUCUUGCAACAACGACAAAUUCUGCCCCAGUUUCUUGCUUGAGGACUUUUGGUUUUUUAUUUUGAUGGGACCGAACCGUGAGGCUGUCUACGAAUCCUUAAAAAGAAUCAGGUCGAACGUAGUUCAUGUCAAAAGAAUUGCUUUGUUUGUUGUGAUUUUCUCUUUUCUCUUUCUUCAUUUCCUUACUCUUUCUUUUUGUUUCUUCCCUUUUUUUCUUUUGUUGUUCUGCUGUUUUGUUGUUUUUUUCUUUUUUUUCCUUUUAUUUUCUUUUUCUUUCUGUUUUUGUUUUUUCUUCUUUCUCAUUUUUUUCCUCAUUCUUUCCUUUUCUCUUAUUUGUACUCAUCUCUCAUUCUUUUGUGAUUUUGCUAUUGAUUACGAAAGAAGGGUAUGAAAGAAAAUAAUUAAAGCUCAAAAAGGGUAACAAAUGAUAAAGUGUUUAGAUAGCAGCGCAAAAUGCCUUCAUCAUUCCAAUCUCCAAAACAUGCCAAGUACAAA